AUAAAUGUAUAACUCUCACAUCUUUUGUUGUUUCUCUUUUCUACGCCUCUUUUUAUUUCUUUCUUCAUUUCCUCGCCAUAUUUUUUUUUGUAUAUGUAUAAUUUCAAAUUAUCAUCGAUGAUCAACAAUAAUAAAAAAAUUAUUUCAAUAAUAUCUACCCGCUGCAUCGUACGGAUAACUACACUAGUAUUAUAUUAUUGUGGUUACUCGAUUUUCUUCCCAGGAGAGUUUUAUGUACAUGUGAAAAAACUACUGUUAAUAUUUUGUAGAAAUAAAAAGUUUUUAUUUAAGCGGAAACUCUUAUAAUUAUUUUAUGUUUGUAAAAAAUAUUAAGAGUGGUUUCUCAUAUAAAGAAAAAUUUUCGGAGAAAAAAACGAAUAACAAUACAAUUUUAAGUAGGUAAGUAUGGUUCCUGAAUAAUAUAAAAUUUAAAAUUUAAAGUUAAAUUAAAUUAAAAAUUUGAAUCUAACAUAUAAAUAAAAUUUUAAAAUUUUAAUCUAAAAUCAGAAUUAGAUUUCAAGAAACAUGUUUGACCUAUUUUUAUUUUUGCAUCUCAAAAAUCGAAAAACUAAUUCUAAAAAUUAGAAUCAAAAUUUGAGAAUAAAUUUUUGGUUAGUUAGGGCAAUCUAUCCGAAAGUAACACGGUUCACUGUGCGUCCUGUUCCAUCCUGCCGCUCGCGCCUUCCAACUCACCUCCCUACCGCAAGUCCCCACUCCUGUCCUUCUGUUCGACUGAUAAAGUCCAAAAAGCGGCUGGAGAAAGUCCACCUUAAGGCGCUGAUGGAGCUCGUUGCGAUUUUUACGAGGAGCUGGUGAAAGAGUUGAAGUGCACUUCAAACGUGCUGUACACAGAACAAUACGAAAGAGACAUAAAGUUCAACGUCGAGCUUUCCAUCGAGGAUGGAAAGUCGAACCUCGUACUUAGCAUCGAGAGCACUUCGGCAACAUAGGGCACAGUGCUCGAAGGUGUUGCCGCUUGCAGCGGGCUGAUUUGGUUGCAGCAGCGUGCCUCGCUAAGCGGCUUGCGUGAGACUACCUCUCCGUACUCUCUUUAAUUUUUCAUAAAUAAAUUUGUUGUAGUUAGAUUUUGGAUUUACACUUACCGGACAGUAUAGUUAGAUUCACACUGUAGUACUCUGAAUUUGGCAAAUUACGAAAUUCGAGAGUGGGGUUGGUAAUUGGAGUGUACCCACAGUUUUAAAGGUUGUAGGAGAGGUUGUGGACAAGUUUGAGAGUGAUCGGAUUGCCGGAAGCAGGAAAGUGCAUUGCAAAAUGUAGUUUUUUGCAUUCUACAUUGAGUACCGGUACCAGCUCGAGUACCGGUACCAGCAGGCAGACUGCUGCGUGGCAACAGGGAGACAUUGGUCUUUUGGCUUUUGUUCUUAUCUCCACAGGGCCCAGCACGACUCCUGGAGUUCCCUGAGAGUUGCUGGAGCUCAGAGGAAGGGUUUGGCACCUCUCUCACUUUCUCUCUCUAGGGAUUUUCUCUUUCUAAGUAGAAUCAAGGAUUUUAGCCUAAUUUCUUCUCCUUCUUUGAUGCUAGUGGUAUUGGAGAGCUUUAGAGCUGUUGUAGCAGGUUGAAGAAGGUGUUUUGGGAAGUGUUUCGAAGCUCUAGCAUUGCUGGUAGUUGAGUGAAGGUUUGAUAAGGUAAUUAACCUAGCUGCUUACUAGUCAGAUGUGUAUUUAGUGAUGUUGAGUUUGAUUUUGGGGUUCUUUGUGCCCAGCUGAUUGAGAAGGAGGAUUAGCAGCUAUAGCAGGGUUUUGUUGUACCCUAACUCAUUUGGAGUUGAGUUAGUGGUCUUACAAGGUAAAUCACUUACUUUCUUUCUUGUUUGGGCAUGGUAGGGAGUGUAUUAGUAUUGAAUUUGAUAGUAUUUUGUAGUAGGGAACUUGAAUCCUGCGACUGGGUUUUGUUGAUUCUGGAAGCAGAUUUUGGAGAUGUUUCUUCGACCCUGAGCUAAGGGGAAGUUGAGUGGAAGUUGGAGAAGGUGAUUAAUUAGUUCACCAUUUACCUUAUGCUUAUGUUAUACUAGGUCUGUUAGUGAGAUAAUCAUGCAAUUUUGGAACUAUGUUCACAGCAGGUUUAUUUUCUCUCUUGAGUUGAAUUAAGUUGAUUGUGGGAUGCUUCAACCUGGAUUGAAGUAGAGGUUUAGCUUUAAUCUAAACCUAGGUGAGAAUUUGGCCUAUAUUAUGUGAACAUGUGAGAUUUUACUAUAGGUAUCUAAAUUCAGCUCUUAGUUGACUUCUAUUUUGUUAUUAGGGGAUUUGGAGACUUCGGAUUUCCUGCAAGUGUGAGUUCAACAAGAGUUGUCAAUUAGUAGGUGGGUUUGAUGUCACCGGAAUGAGUGGACUUUUUCCCCCUAUGUUCUUUAUGAUACUAUAGAAUUGCCAGUUAUGGGUAACUAUGGUAAUAGAUCACUAAGUGACGAGUAUUUGAUACACUCAAUAUACUUGCUUUAUAUGAUUAGUAUGAAUCUCUAUUAAGUAGAGAGUUGGGAGCAAUUAUCUAGUUCAAUUUGUGUAGUUAAUAUUCAAUGUAGAUAUACAUUCACAUAAUGUUAGAAGUGAUAGUCCCAUGCUAGUAGCAUAGUGAAAGAAGGAUUGAAUGAUGAAUUAUCAUUACACUGUUUGGUACUAUUACAUCUCUAUAAAGUAGAGAGUAAAGACAUGAUAUUUAUGGAAGGUACACUAGAAUACUUAUGUUGAUAAGUUGACAAUGAACAUAGUAUGCCCAAUUAGCAUUAAUGUUAUCUUGUAAAUAUAAUCUAGUUGCCACUAGCAUUUUUACAUUGUAUGUAGAUUCCGACCUAUAGGUCGGUAGAGGACAUUCCGUGUUUGAGACACAAUGAUUGAGUACUUGUGGACUAUGGAUCGUGCUUGCUUGCCAUUGUGCUCAUUCGCACAUGCUUGUGAGGAUCGCUCUCCACAAGCCGGCACUCCGGAGUUGGCCUAUGCGACAAGUACUCGCCCGUGCGGGAUUGGGUGCCGAAGUGGAUUGCCGUGGAGAGUGUAUACUACCACGGGGCCAUUAGGCGCGGUGCAAGCUGGACUACCUUGUGUAGAUCCCUAUGGGUUAAACAAGUUAUCAAAUGAUAUCAUUAGAAUAAUCACUACUAGAUAAUGUACAGUCACAAGAUAACAUAACAUGUUAAUAUAUGAAGUAAUUACUUUACCUGCUACAAGUUAGUUGUUGCAUUUGAGAUUAUAGUUACAUGUUCAUCACUGCUUAUCAUCAUUAUUGCUAUCAUGUAGUAGCGAUACUUGCCUUUUCUUUUAGUUCAGUAUGAGCCUAGUGGUGUAAUCCGCUACGGUCGGCGGCUUGCCCACUGGGAACUAUUGUUUAAUAGUUCUUAUGCCCUUUUGUUGUUGUUUAUCUACAGAGCCAUCCACGACGAGAGAGGCUAAGGAUCACGACAAAGGAGUCGCGUCUAGCUAGGCAUAGCGUGGUGUCCCGCUAGGUGAUCACCUCGCUAUAUUGAGUUUGUUGACGAGGGCGAUGCGUAUCCAUGUAUAGAGAAACUACCAUUUGUGUUUUUAUAGUUCUUUUGGCGACCCUGUGAUGUAUAUGUAUGGUUAGAGUGUUGUUUUUACAGUUCUAUGUUCCUACUUCUUGUUGAUCCUGGUGAGGUUUAUAUCUAUAUUCCUCUAGUUGAUAGUACCUUUGGUAUAUGUUGUACAUACUUCGCUCUGAUAUCAUAUUAGAUUCUUUUACCGACUAUUACUUUUCUGACAUGAUUUUAAUAGACGUCUUAUAUACUGCAGGUAUAUGACGGGUCUGUGCAUGUACCGGGUAUGUUUCCGCUGAUAUCCGGGCGUGACACACACGUACUAAUUUUAUAAUGUGGUUGAGUCGUCUUCUUCUCGAAAUUUUUCCACGGUGCUUUCCAGCACCCAGAACAUCUUUUGGGGUCCAAAAAAUGUCAAAUCCUUAGAAUCAACCAGAAUUCGAUUUUAAGUUCCUUUUUAGCAUUAAUUUUAUGCCAAAAUGGUUCUAACUUGAUCUAAUAGUCUAAAGGCAUAUUGUCAAGCAACUCAAACUGUAAUUUUGUCAAUUUGCCAAAGUUCAACAUAUUACAAGAGCCGCCAAUCUAACUUGAUAUUCGCGAGCCAGUUUAUGUUCAAUUCGUUAAUAAACAAGCCGACCAUGAGUUAAAAUUUUUUUUUUGAGAGAUAGGUAGUACGCUACCCGCUUCGUUUAUUUCAUUAAGAAAUAAACUUAGCUGAAAAUGUAAAUCAACUAGGACUCGAACUAGAGACCUCGGGUACCAACCACCAAGCCCUUUGCCACUUGCUUUAGGGACGGUCGGUAACAUGAGUUAAAAUUUUCUUCUUAAUAUUUUAAGGAUUCAGCUCAUAUUUGGCUUCUUUAAUAAACGAAUGAACAUGAGCAAGGCCAAGCUUGCUCGUGUUCAGCUCAUUGACAGCCCUACUUGGGGGGAAAUAAGGGAUGACAGGGCUGUGGGCACCCUAUGCUGUGGACUCACACAAAUAAGCACUCGUGUGGACAUACUCGAGAGAUAGCACUGAGAAAAAAUGACUUCAGAAUAAUUUAAUUCGAAGUCUAGUUUGGUAGAUUAGAUUCAAUCGGAGUAAGUCUGGUUCAAUCAUCUUCUACCUACAUCAAACCAAAUAUUCAUACUCAAUCACUUCGUCCACAUUCGAGUUCAGCCUCACCCAUUGUAUUAUUUUAUUAUUUUUAUCUUUCUUAAUCAAAAUUAGCUUCAGCCUAUGUGGGCCAAAGUUAGUUAUAUUAUUUUAGAUAACUCGAGUUUCGACUAUGUGUGUAUUACGACAAGCCAAACAGUAAAAAUGACUAUUUAUAAUCAAAAAUAAUUUUAAUAUUCUCUAUUUUCAUCCAAACAAACAGGUCCUAAUCCAAACACCUUUCUGAGGAUACACGCCUUAUAAGAUUUACCAAUAAAGUUUAGAGGGUUAGUUACCAAAUUUGAGUCCGUUUGCAAAACUGUUAAAAGUUGAGGGUCUUUGUACAGUUUUUUCCUUCAAUUUUAUAGGUAUCUCGACCUUUAUGAUUAAGCUUUGUAUUCUCGCUUUCCGAUUUCCUUGAAGAAUCCCCUUCGUUUUCCCCGAAGUGCAAUCGUUUCCCCGAUCCCCUCCUCUCUCUCUCUCUCUCUCCCUCCCUCUCUCUCUCUCUCUCUCUCUCUCUCUCUCUCUCUCUUUCUCUCUCUACUCGAACCCUAACCUACGACGAGUCGAUCGAUCGCUCCAUCGAUCUCGAUUCUUCGAUCGAUUCGUCGCUUCUUAUCGCUACGCCAGGUACGAGUAUGUCGAAAUUUUUGCCGACUAAGAAAAUUUUGCGGACUUUUUGUUUAUUUGCUUCGAUUAAGAGUCGAAAUCCCUCGUAAAAUCGAUCUAUUGAUGCUUGACUUUGGGGUUUGAUUUUGAUCUAUUUGAUCUUUGCAGAUUUGAGUUGAAUCGGGAGGAAAAUGUCGAUGUUUAGUAGGAUCUUCGGGAAGCCCAAGGAGCAGACCAGUGCCCUGACGACGCUGGACAAGUUAAAUGAGGUAAAGUUUCGUGUAUUUUGAUCCUAUUUUGUGUUAAAUAAUGACGUUUUAAUCGGAAAUGGUUUACUUUGGUCUCAGAUAUUUGGGGGAUCGUUUUGUAAAUUGAAUCCGAUUAUAUUUUUGUUCAUGUGAAUGAUGGACUGGUUGAUGAUGUUAUUUUCUUGUUUGAAUUAAAUAUUUUGUGAAGAACCUAUCUAUUGAUGAUACUUGUUGAGAUGUAGUUUGUAAAAUAAAGGAUGGAUGAAUUGGAUGUGAGGUUGCUAUUAAAAAGUGAUUUGGGACAAGUUGUAAUGUUGUAAACUUGUUUCUUUUCUUUUUUUUGGUUGAAUAGGAGGAGGAGGAGGAGUAGUUUCCUAAUUAACAAAAAGAAGUCUACGUUGGAAGAAAACUUAAUCUAGCUUUGGAAGCUUGGGGACAAGGGAGAAUCACUGAUUAGCUUUUUUAUGAAAGACUAAAGGUUUAGGUCAAAUAAGAGUCUGGUUGGAACUUAUUUAUAAAGCUUUCAUAAGGAGCUGUUUCUCUGCUUGAAAUCAUUAUUUUAUGGAACAUUUUAAAGCAAAAUAUUUCCUUUGUUACUUUUUUUCCUUUUAUCUUUUAUCUUUUUUAAUCUUUCUUAUUCACAUUGAUCUCAAGAUCUACUGCUAUUUUAUGCUGUCAAAUCCACUUUGAGAAGUAAUUCUACUGCGGCUUGUCUGUUUUUCUUCUGGUGAGACAAAUAUUUGCAAGGGAAUCAGCCUUUCUACAGUUUUCUAUUCUAGCAAAGAGGAUAGGCCUAGUUUUUCUUGUCCAUACUUUAGGAAAUUCGUAAAUUUUAAGAGUUUCAGGUGCAAUAAUGCAAGGGAUUUGGACCGAAUUUCCCUUGCAAUAAUGCAAGGGAAAUUCGUGAUUGUUACUAAACCUCCUUUUAUUAUCAAAAACAGAACUGAGAUGUGUCAGGUGCAAUAAUGCAAGGGAUUUGGACCGAAUGUCCCAAUAGAAAGAUUGCCAAUAGGGUGAAGGACUGCAUUCACAUGAAAUAAGUCGACCAAAAGCAACUGAAUGCAAAAGGGCUAUGAAGGCUCAAUCAGCUAGCUUUUCCGUGGCAACUUGAUGAACUUAGUGAUGUGAUGGAGAGCUUUUAAUGUUUUUUAAUCUUGUUAUUAAGUGCUUAUGUCUAAAUUAAUUGUACUGUUAACUUUAAUCCUUGAAUUGCAUUAUGCAGUGUGAAUGAUGUAUAUGUAUGACAUACCAAAGAAUGGAUACUGUAAAUUGAAAUUGAAAUAACCUUGUAAAGAAUCUAGAGGUGGGCAUUGUCCCCGGUCAUCUAUCUGUGCUCAUGAAUGACUUGUAUAUAUGGAUUUUAUGGAUUAAAAUCAAUAAACGUUGAACAAGUUCUUGGGUUGGUUUAGGUAUUCUUUUUAUUUUCUUUCUCAUGAUUUCCCCCCUCUAGCUUCUUUUCUCCACAUUUUAAUUAAUUGUAAUGAUGAUUACCGAUUGGCUAGAAUGGUCUUUGGUCGGUCCAAUUCUAAUUGAUCAUGUGACCCCACGAUUUUAAUAGUAGAUUAACUAUGGUAUCAAAGCUCAUGGUUCUACACAAUCAAAUUGAUGUUUGUUGCAGGCCAUAAAUUAGGUAAGAUUCAGUAAAAAGAGGCCAUUUUGGGGAACUUUCAGAUCUGAGAAGGAAGUUUAAAACUUCACAUAAUGCGUAGUAAGUCCUAGUACAAUUUUAGGUUCCUAAAAUAUCAUUAUUAUAAUGGAAGACGAGGAGAUCAAGCGAACCUAUAAUUGGGUGGUGGUGCACUUAAAUAAACUUGAGGAAUCGUUCUCCUGUCGCCUGAAGGAGCACUCAUACCUAAAGCAACACAAUUGGUUUUUCCAGCAACCAAGAAUGUGGCCAAGUACAAAGCGUUCAUCGCUAGUGGAAUGGAAGGACACCAUGCCACAGUCCAGGAAAAUAAUCGAAGCGUUGCUGUAAAGAACUAUCCCUUAAAUCCAUAUAUAAAAUCAAUCUAUCUAGCAAUGCAUCCUGUUUAAUAGUAGCCUAGGAAUGGCUUGUAGUUUUUGUUACAACUUACAAAGGAGAAGCAGUCACUAUGAACACCAUGUUCUUAUAAAGGAAAAUUAGGCCUCAUGCUUGUGUAAUACCCCACUAAUUCUCAUUUCAUCUCUGCCUGUUUAUUUGCGGGCCUCAUCCCACCACCCUGCCAAGCACAAGAGUUUUGGAUAUUUAGACUAUAUCUUAUGAUUGUCAGCUCUUAUAUAUGUUAUGUACUUAAGUAGAUACUGACAAUGUAUUAUACCUGUACUCUGUUAUUUUGAAUGGAAUGGGUACAGGUUGGACGGUUGUUUAGCCAAUCCCUACUCGUCUUAGGAACCCUGUACUUGCCUGCUGGACAGGGGAGGGAAGGGUGUUUGUUUCGCAGAAGGGUGGGAUCACCAUGAACUAAAAUGCGCUGCCAUCCAUCUUUGUUCUAAUCAUCAACUUUUAUCUUUAAUGAUUUUGAAGUGAAGGCAUUUUCAUGCACCCUAAUCAUAUUUAAUUUCGAAAUUCUGGAUGUAUAUAUUACUGAUCUUGAACAAAUCCUGUUUGCUAAACAAUUUGAGGAUAAAUGUAACAGCAACCAAUGUUUCAUUUUCGUGGUCGUUAACCUCAUAAUCAAACUUCAAGGAUUUUCAUAGAUCAGCUGAGCUUGUUUCUGGGGGAUGUGAUUUAUGCGUGUUGCUUCUAAUAGGUCUGAAAGGAGUGGAACAAAUCCGAGUUUACUAUAACAUACUUGAAUGUAAGGGAUUGAUGUUUGAAGUUUAUGUUAGUACAUAUAAAUAGAGGACUUAGAGAAGCAUGAACGUUCUGUUAUUUAGGAAUGAAUUAUUGAAUGAACUCUCAAUCUGGUUUAAAUGUCUUCUAUCUUCUUUUUAGUGGACAUGUCAUGUAUAUUAGAUUAUAUAUUGCUGCUCAUUAACUUAUAAUCCUGCUAUAUUUUCUUGAAAGACUGCUUAAUGCUAUGUAUAUUCCUCAGACCCUUGAGAUGCUAGAAAAGAAGGAGAAAGUUCUUCAGAAGAAAGCAGCUGCUGAGGUCGAGAAGGCGAAAGAGUUCACCAGGGCAAAGAACAAAAGGGGUAUGCUGUAUAAUGUUGAAACUAUGCAGUGUUUAUGUCAUAUUAGUAUUUGAUGUUGCUGAUAAUUUUACUUUCCAUAUUAUUUCUCUGGAUUUACUCUGCUAUAGUUAUGUUUGUCUUAACUUUUAACAUAACAGUAACGGUUUCCCCCUAUUUCAAGUCUUCCAUUGAUCCUACUAUAGUUAUUUAUAUUUUCAUAAUUACAAUUAGAUCCUUAAAAUAACAGUAUAUACAAUAAAGCUAUUACUGGCUUGUUAUAUUUGUUUUCAAGCUUUUCUUUGAUAUGCAUAAUUUUCGUCUUUUAUUGCCUCUAUAACUUGUUUUCUUGCCUAGAAUUUAAUGUAUUGUAGUUAUUCAAUUGCAAAAUUGGCCACUAUUUAGCAUUCAUUCUGUAUCUAUGUAGAAGUUACCAGUGCUAUAAAGUGAUAUUAAUUAUUAUAUAUUGAAAUAAGUUUCUAUUACCUAUCUGAACUUUUUAUUUGCAUAUUAGCUGCAAUACAAUGCUUGAAGAGGAAGAGACUUUAUGAGCAACAGGUUGAACAGCUUGGGAAUUUCCAAUUAAGGAUUCACGAUCAGGUGAAGAUUAUAUUUUAAAAAGUCUAGGUGUUCUUGUAAUUAAUUUUUCAGUUAUUAAGUUAGAACUCAUUAUGCAUUCUCUUUUAUAGAUGAUAAUGCUUGAAGGUGCAAAAGCUACAACUGAGACUGUUGAUGCAUUGAGAACUGGUGCAGCUGCUAUGAAAGCUAUGCAGAAAGCAACGUGAGUAGCUAUAGUGCUUUAUAUUGGCCAAUUUGUAUUACAGAUUUAACUACAUACACAUGCAAAAAUAUCCAUUUAGAUAUAUACUCCUGUAAAUCCGAGUAUAUGCUUCAAAAGCUUCAUUUCUUACAUAGCAUUUGGGCGCUGUGGGCAUCAAUAUGUGGGGUUUGGUUUUUGUGUUCUUUUUUAUUAUUAUUGUUUUAGUUAUUUUGUGUGCUCCAAAACUCACCAAAUCAAAGUGUUCGGAUGAACCAAAUUGAAUGGGGCCUACGCAAUUGGUUCAAUUUGGUUGGUUUAUCCAGUUUGAUUAGGAAAACCUGCUUGGGCUAUUGUAUGUUAACCUAGCAUACAACAGAUAUAACUAUGAUUAGUCUUAUUAGAUAAAUAUUUGAUCUGCUGGUGGUAGUUCUUAAUAACUUCAAUCAUUUGAUCAUCAUCUAACAGGUACCAUAUAUCAAACUAUUAGAAACUUGGUUAACUCUCUUUUUCCGAUCCUCAGUUCGGCAAAACCAAAUCAACUAUAUUAAUUAUGAUAUUGUAUUAAAUUAACUGAAAUAAGUUGGUCUGGUUCGGUGAAUCAGUUUUGAAUAAAUGAUGGUCACCUCAUCCAAGAUUUCUCCUCUUUAGGAAAUGCAAAGUAAAUUUAUUUUAUGAAUUUGAUGAAUUUCCAAAUGAAGAUGAGUGUAUUUAUUUAAGAAGCUGUACUUCAGGUGUAUAUAUGAAAACUCAAACUUCAUAGUUUAUGCAGGUAUAUUGGAAGUCGAUGAUUUUGCGGGAUAUGAAGUAAAGCCCCUUCAUAUUUUGCUAUUUAUUUUGAAUUCUCGUUAUUUUCUAUUGACGACAAAUUUUAGGUAGAACAUUCAUUAGUAUUAUCUCCUAUUUAACUUCUUAAAAAAAAUUGUAAUCAGUAUGACCUUGAAUGUUGAUUGUCUACUGUAGUUGUUAAAACUGUGUGAGACUGCAGAGUUGAAUGUUAAAUGUUAUUGUGGUCUGUGAUUAUUUUUGUGUUUGUAGAGCUAUUGGAUAUUAAGUAGCUUGGGGCUUGUUUGGCUUUUCUUUAGCUUUUGCCGUAGUGUUGUUUAAAGCUGGUUGAAAUAGCCCUUUGAUUCUUGAGUAUGAUAUUGAUUCUUUUCCUUCUUUUGCAGAAACAUCGAUGAUGUCGACAAGACUAUGGACGAAAUUAAUGAACAGACGGAGAACAUGAAGCAAAUACAAGAAGCAUUAUCUGCACCAAUUGGAGCAGCAGCUGAUUUUGAUGAAGUACCUCCGCUUUCCCUUUUCCAUAUGACCCCAUGAUUUUCCUUCAUUCUUUUUCUUUUGAGAUAUUUACUUAUUCACCUUUGCAAAAUCAUCUAUUUGUGUAUGUGCUCCUGGAAAAUCGAACUUUUUACAUGUCGUCUAGAAAAAAUCUCUUUUAAUACAAAAAACAAUAGCCGCCCAUAAAGGGAAGGAUGUCUUAUAAGAAGCUGCACUUUCAAAGUUAUAUAUAUAAAAAUUCAGAUUUUACAAGGGUUUUUCAUGUGUGUGUGUGUAUAUAUAUAUAUAUAUAUAUAUAUAUAUAUAUAGAAUUAGGCUACUAUACUAUCUAAAGUACCGGAGUUCCAGUACUAUAGUCUUGUUUUCGAUCUUAGGGUGUUCAAAUAAACGAUCCACACCGUUAAAUAUGAUUUAGGGUAUAUGAAGUUCUUAGGAAUAAAAUUUUAGUUUUUUUCGACAUCGUUUACUUAGUAAAUAAAUUAUGUCAAAAUGGACGGUGGAAAUUGAAUAUUUUAAAAUUUGAGAUAGGACUUUUAUUACAAGAUCAAGAAUUGUAACUUAAUCUAGAUAGUUUAAGUAUUUUCUAUCAAAUUUGAAGAAAUUUAUAUUCUUCUACACCUUAAACUCCAAACUUGCCAAGUAGCCGUUGAAAAUUGACAAUUUUGAAAUGGUUUGAUCAUAAAGUAAACUAUGUCGAAAAAAUAUAAAUUUAUUCUAAAAACUUUAAAUACCCUAGAUCAGUUUUAACGGUGUGGAUCGUUGAUUUGAAUACCCUAAGAUUCAAAACAAGACUAUAAGUUUUUCAAACCGGCAAUCCCGCGUACUAUGAUAGUAAAGCAGACUACCAUAUAUAUAUAUAUAUAUAUAUAUAUAUAUAUAUAUAUAUAUAUAUAUAUCAUUUUGCAGUGGUAUGUAUGUAAAUGCCCCUACUUUCUUUGACAUCUUCAUUACCUAUUGUUGUCUUUCUGUGUUAUUAGGAUGAAUUGGAAGCCGAACUCGAAGAGUUGGAGAGUGAGGAAUUGGAGGAGCAGCUUCUUCAACCAGCUACAACUGCACCUGCUGCUCCAAUACAUGUUCCAUCUGAUAAGCAACCGGUUCGGCCUGCUCCGAAGAAGACUAUGGCUGAAGAGGAUGAACUCGCAGCAUUACAAGCAGAAAUGGCAAUGUAAUCAGGUAACUGGUUUGUUCCAUAGGUUAACCAUUGAUAAUAGAUUUGUUCCAUAGGUUAACCAUUGAUAAUAGAUUCAUUUGUCAACUUAUCUUUAAAUAACUCUGUACCUUUUCAUUCGUAAAAGUGAUAAUUAUCUAAUUGGACGAAGUUUUGGUUUUUGUUGACUUAUUAAAAGUUUUCAUUUUACUAUCUAACCUCAUAGUAGUUUAUUUUGAUUACAGAAAAUUCCUUCAGGUUCAGUAGAAAUUUAAAAAAUUUCUGUUUAAAAAGUUGCAGAAUAUUUCAUGAGGUUACAGAAUAUUUUGUCAAAAUGUUGAAAAAUAUUAUUAUGUUCUGACUAAGAGAUGGUUAAAUCAAAAAAAUUGAAUGGUUAUGUAGUAAAUCACAAUUUAUAAAUUGCAGUGUUCCAUUUCUGCGUUGUAGUUCAAGUAACUUUUAUACCUUGUUCCUAAAAAGAAUAAUACUGCUGAUCUAUAAAUAGGGAUGUCAACAGGUUGGAUUCGGGGCAAGUUUUCAAAAAUGCGAACUUGAAGCCGAACCCAACAAUCGAACCCAAAACCCGAGCCCGAAUCUGAACCCGACGGGUUUUGAAAAUCCAUAUCCGAAACGUGAACCCAACGAAAAACAUGAGCCCCGAACCCGAACCCUAAACAAUCAAUUCUCUCUACCAUAUUUCAAAACAUAUGUAUUAAAAUCUAAAUUUUCAAUCAAAUUCAAAUAUAACAUCGAACAGUCAUAUAUACUAUAUAAUGCAACAUCUAUUCGGUUCGGGUCUCGUACACACAAAAUCCAUACCCGAGCCCGAGUAUGUUGGAUUUUUGUUUUUUAUAACCGUCUUUGAAACGAUAAUCAUUUAGCAUCAGAUAAAAUCUGCUCCGUUCGGAUUUGGGUUUGGAUAAAAUUCCGGGUAUCCCUACCCAUUCAUCCCUAUCUAUAAAUGAGUAGAAUUUUGCAUUUUAAACUUAUCUCUAACAAUUUAUCCGUACAUUCUAAAGCUAAUCUUUCUUUAGAGUUAUUUUGAGCAUUUAAAAUGAUUUGAAUUGGUUUUAAGACCCCUAGUUUUGGAUCUGCACCAACUCAAACUGGUUGGUCUCAGAUUCUGCCAAAACUGCAAACAGUGCCUUACUGCAUGAUCUAUCAUUUUCUCUGUACGUACAUGAGUAUGGAGCCUGAGAUAAAACCUGCAAUAUUGUAUGAGUCUGUAAGAAAUAAUUCUUAGGUGUAUAUGGUUAAUUGGAUCGCCUGAAUUUGUAUAUUAGUCGAUAUCAUUUGGCUUAUUAUAAUUCAUUAUUCAGAUUACUUGUGCAUGCCAUCUUCCCAUCUAAUUUCCUGCUUGAAAAGCUGUUUGCCCUGUGAAGAAUCAGUUUUUUCCCCCUCUUCAAGAACAAAUCUAUCUACCGAGAUUCCUCAUGUGUCAUGAGUGGUUCUCCUGAAUUCUAUUGUUGAUUUGAAAAUUGAAAGUAGAUAGAACCAUGUAUAUUCUUUUGAUGUGCUCGUUUUUUUUGAGUCUCAGUGCAAUUCUAUGAACUGGAAAUAGGUAAAUAUGUUUGGAGAUCCCUCAAUUAUAGGCCAUUUUAAGAUAGGCCCCUGAGCAUCACCUCAACUUUCAUUUGUUUUUUUGUGAAUUUAGGAUUCAUUUAAAUCGAUAGCUUCAUUAGCUAUUGGUUCUCAACUACUAAUGGAAUCCACUACCUUUAGCUUAAAAGCAAUCAGAGCCAUUAAUGUAACCUGCAUUUCAACGCGCCGAAAUUACUGUUAGUUAAAACGAAUGAAAGUUGAUGUGGGCGUCAAAAUAAAAUAAAAAGAAAAGAGAAGUUCGAGUGUUUAUUUCAAAAUGCCCUCGUGAGGGUACCCCCAUACUUUUUACGUUGUAGCCAUUUGACAGAAUUGUAUUGCUGCCGAGAACUUUUCUUUUACAUUUGAAAAUCUUUGCUCCUACUGUUCAGUAACCUUAUUCUGUUUAAAUUUCUGCAGGUCUUUGACGCGCGAGUGGGCCAAGUCAUGUAAAGAAGCUGGUCGGAUGUGCUUCCAUGAUAGUCGUCGACAUUCCUCGUCGACGAAAAACUUACGUCUCUCUGUGUAUACAUUUUCUGGAAUAUAUAUAUAUAUAUGUAUCAACUCAUUGCUUAUGAUGAUAUCUUUGUGAUACUUUGCCAACAUUGUUCUGUAUUUACUAUUUACUAUUUUCAUCAGACGGAUCAAUUCCUGCAACAUGUGUCGGAGAUACGGGGGUAACCUAAGUAAUCGAGGAUUUCCGCCAUAUUAACUCAUUGUUAUUAUCUUAAAAGUAGGUGAUUAGUUAGUUUGGCUUUUACAUUUUUUUAGUUUCAUGUAAGUAAAUUCCAAGCACUUACAUGGAAGUUUCUCGAGAUUUUGUGGUCUUUCAGUUCUUGAAUUGUCAGAUUUUGUUCGAAAGUAGAGAGAGAUGCUCGGAUUUGUUCAAAAAACAAGUCUUUCUCUCUCUCUUUUUCUCUCUUAUGUAUGCUCGUGCUCGGGUAUAAUUUGUUGGUACCGGUAGGUCACGAGUUUUGAUUUCAAUAUCCAAAGAAUUGGGUCAUGGUUUGGUUAUGCUGCAGUCUGGGUUUUCAUUUGUUCAGAGCCCUGGUUUGAUUUUCAUCUCACUUGAUUCAGGAUUUCCUAAUGGUUGGAUUGGAGUUUCGAGUAUUUCCUUUUACAACUCUGAAGUUGUCCUUGAUGGGUAAUAAUUUCUGGCGAGUUCCCGAACUGAGCAAAAACCCGAGCAAAAGAAUUCGUAAAAGCACCAAGUUUUUACUUCUACAAGCGCGCCAUAUGCUUUGAUGUAUUUUGAUUUCACCGCACUGAUUUAUAAAAUUAUAUUUGACUAUCCUAUGAUUUUAGUUUUAUUUUAAUGUGAGAGCCUGCUGUUAAAUAGAAUAGCAAAGUGGGUUUUGACCAUGAUGCAAGUACAAAUUUUUGAAUCGCAGGACGGCAAAGUAAAAAAUUCACUAAAGCACGAGUUGCCCAUACUUUUAGCUCAGCAUCCGCUUAUAUUUUGGGUCAUCUUCCUGUAUUACAAUACAUACAAUAAAAAACGUGGCGAAAUAACUAUUACUCUGUAAAAGCUUAAGCUAUUAGAGAAUCAAAUUUUUAAUCAUUAUAUUCAACUAAAAAUUAGGAAGAACUAAAUAAGGUUACAAGACUAAAAGCGCUCGAUUGGAAUAGAAAACAAAUUUCGGUGCGCCGAGUGCAACAAAAUAAUACUUAUGGCUAAUGGCUUAAGUUGGACAUGGAUCUAGUUCAGGAAAAACUUAAUACAAGAAGAAACCGAAGACCGCGAACCAACCAUUUGGAUCUGCGCUAACUCAUCAAUCCCAGCACCAACCCGAUAUUGCGACUUUUAGUCCUUGAACUUCUCCUUUAAACACUUCAACCCCUGAAAUUUCUUAUAUAUCAGAAUAUCACAUAUAGUACCGCCAUAAAAAUCAGUCAACACGAGUUUUUCCUAUAAAAUGACAUUUCAACCCUUUCUCAAAGUACAUUAAACCAAGAAAUUCCUUCCAGAGUAAAUAGAUCAUUGUGCGGCAAAAACUCAAAAUUUCUUUUUCUUUUUCUUUUUUUUCUGUUCGGAGGUCAGAGAUACAAUUGAAAUAUAUGAGAAUAUUCUGGGAUUAAUGAAUUCAAGCAAAAAGCUUACGGACUAGGUCAGAAUAGCGAGAUGCCACAGGGACUAUCCAUUCAUUUUACCGACACACAAUUGUUGCAGAAGGUACCAGGCUCAACCUUCAUGGUCAUGGAGGAUACUGAGAUUCGAGCCUUCUUAGUAUCGUAUUUGUGACCCUCCAAUUGAAUCCCCUAUACUGAAGCCAUCUUAUCAUUCUAGCUCUCUGAUUUUCCGGCGGUGAGCUUCGACCUCGCAGCCACUGUUUUGAGGCCUGAAGGAAAAGGCGAUCCAUUGAAAGUUGCAACAUCCCAUGUUCAGUAUGCUCGUUGCUGCUCUUAUUAUUAUUACGAUCAAUCUCCUCCUCAAAUACCUUUUUUGUCGCCUUAUCUGCUUCUUCCGCAGUCACACCCUUCUGAAGAAGUGCCUGAUUAGAGACAGAUUAAUGGUUUCAGUUAGCUGCCAAUGUUGCAGCAAAUGACUUGUAUACCGAAACAGAAUGUUUUGAUUGAAACAGUUCAUGGAAAACAUAAGGCUAUUCUGCGAAGCAGACCGGAUUUUUUUUUUUUUUUCUUUUUUAAUGAUGGUCAGUACAUUUUUUCAGUUUUGCAUCUUUGAGCCGAAAUAUCUCUUCAUGACCAAAAUGUUCAUGGCUGAGAUUACUAGUGCAAGUCCUUUAAAAGAGAUUUCAAACCGAAGUGAUUGUAAACUUGACAAAAUGAUGGGUUGCUUUUGCACAGGAAAAUUCAUUUUUUUCAUACACAGAAAAACAAAUUAGAGAUACUUGUAUAAAAGGAAAGGAGAGGGACAUAGUGCGGACUUGUUUAAUUCGCCUUGGACCCCAAGUUGAAGAGAGCCAUCUAGAUUGCGAAAAUGACUCCGCAUAUAAGCCAUCAUUUAACAAACCCCUUCAAGGAUUAAAAAAAGUAAAAAAAGCCAUAUCAUUAAGGGGAAGUAAUAAAUAUGCGCAAAAGCUACAGCCGAUAACAAUUGUAGAAGGUAACCACUAAACUUGUUUAGUGCAAAUAAAGAAUAUUAAUACAUGGUGCAAAUUAGUCUACUCAAGCCUAAAACCUAGUGGACCAUGAAGUUGGGCUGAAGCAGGUUUGGAGAAAGAAAAAAGAUUAAGUAAGAAUCCCGAUUUUCUUCACAUAAUUUACUCGAGCGUUUAAUUAUAUGUGAAACAGGAUAAGCAAAAGGUCAAUUAAUUCAAAAGGACAUUACUAUUAACCUUGGAUGGAAAUUUUACACAUCAAAUCAGUAGAAAAAGAUUUAAUAUAUGGAUAUUCAACUGCUAGUCCUGACUGGCCAACCACAAAAUAUAUUAUAUUCCACACGGGAUGUGUGUUAUUCAGCUUUCCCCAGGCUGAUUGCCCUCACAAACCGAAUGCUUAUUGUGGUCGCAUUUCCUCCCACAUCUCAUUUAGCGACAACAACGGAUCGGAUUUGGGGCGAAUUUUCAAAAACCCAAACCCGAACUUGACUACCGAAACCAAAACCGAAAACCGAAACCGAAACCGAAACCGAAACCGAAACCGAAACCCGAACCCGAAACAGUUGGGUUUUGAAAAUUCAUAACCAAUACCGAACCCAAAAACCCGAACCCAAAAGCAAUAAUUUUCCUUUACCAAAUUUCAAAACAUAUCAUACUCAAACCUAAAUUUUCAAAGUACAAAUUUAAUUUUUUAUAUAUUAUAUAACAUAAAACCGGUUCGGGUUUGAUUUGGGCUCGGACUCGGGCUUGGGCUCAGGCUUAGGUUGGGGUCGGAUACAGAUAUAAACCAUACCCAAACCUGAAUCCGUCAGGUUUUCAUUUUUUAUACUCGUAACCAAAACCAUACAGUUUAGCAUCGGUUAAACCGCCCCCGUUCGUGUUUGGGUUCGGGUAAAAUCUUGGGUAUCCACACCAAUUGACAUCCCUAGUCUCAUUGGAUUCAAAUAGCAGUAUUAUUUUUCAACUAAGGAGAUAGUGGUCUCUUAUCUGCAAGUCAUAACAGAUAGAUAUUCAAUGUAUGAGAAAACUGCAUGUUUGGACCUUUUCUUUAUAUCUUCCAUAACUGUAUCAACUACAUUGAAGGGGAAUUUCUUUCCACGUAGCUUCUUUCGUAGCUCAGCACCUGUGAAUGCUCUGUUUCAAAAGAGCACGGGAAACCUCUCAACAUAGUAUCUUGAUUAUUUUCAAUAGAAAGAAUAACAAGGAAAAAAAAAAAAAAACACAUGCACAACUUACAUGAGGACUAACAUUUCUUGAGUAAUAUGAUUUUUACAGUCAAAAUCUUGAAUUUGCUUAUAUAGGGCAUUAACCUCCUAUAGCACUAGUAAUUCCUAAUAAGUUAACGAAGUAUGUACAAGAGAAGUGCAUGUUUAUGACAUAUGUUUCCUCUUUAUGUUAAGAACGAUAGUAUCUGAUGGCUAGGUUAUACUUUUUCAAAGAAACAAAGGAAUCAUUCCUCACUUUUUCUUUUUCUUAUUUUAGAAGUAAAGUGCUGUUAAUUUCUACCUUGAAUAUUUUAAUUUUCAAAUGUAAUAGUUAUAGUGUAAGUAGUUUAAGAUGAGACGCACAAAUAAAUCAAGUAAUAACAACGGGAAUCAUCUAUUGCAAAAAGUUGUUCAGAAAAGACCUUAACAAAGACGUAAUUAAUUUUCAUGUGCAAGUAACCAAGUUGAUUAACUACAUAGCCCCUGUUCUUUUCCGAUAAGUAUAGCUUGUUUCUAGAGAUCUUACACAUGAAAAGUAGAUGAAGAAAAUAAAAAGGUUAAGACUACCAAAAGUCAUAGAUGAAAACUAAUAAUUAUAAAGUAUUACUUCUAACCUCCCAGCAAGUAAUUCAAUUGCCACUUUUUCUGCAUCUUGUAUAGUCUUUUUAUUGGUUUCAUUCCUUCCACUACUAUUACUUUCUUCACAAGAAAGCAAUUCAGAAUCAUUGGAGUAAUCACAUUCGAUGAAUUCAUUUGCCGUAGCACUGUCAUCAUCAUCAUAUGACAAUUGUUCAACUUGCUUAAAUAUUGAACUUGAAUUCACUGCACAAAACAAGGAGCAAUGUGGUAAGGAAAAAUUAGUUUCAUAAGAAGCGACCCCCACAACAGUAGUCAUAAAUAGGUAGUUGGCUUCCGAAAUGUCAGUUCUAGUUAGUUUUCUUCUUAGCGAAAAGGCUGAAUUGCGGGAAAUCACCCUAAAAAUAUUGUGAUUUUCACUUUGCCAUCAUUGAAUAUCAAAACUCGGUUCAUUACUCCAUUCGACUACAAGAUUUUCUAACUUUGCCGUCUUCCGUCAGUCUUCCUCUGGCCAUAUAAAUAGUUACGUUAAAAUCAAGAGGAACUGUAGGUUUUGAUAUUUCAAGAGGACAAUAUGAUAAUUGCAUUUAUUUAUAGAGGGUUUCCGCUAGUAAGCCAUAUUAAAGGAAAUUGUUAAAUGAAAGUUAGCGACAAGUUUUAAGUUACAGUUUGACUAGCCAAAUUCCACCAGUUGUGAUGUGUAUCUGCUUUCAAUCCACUAGCUACUGGGAAAAGAUAGUAAGGAGAAGAAACAAGAAUUUAAAUUCAUGCAGCAUAGGCAACAGAGUACAUGCAACAAACCAAAGAAGCCACGAUACCAUUUUUCAUGCUUUUCUGCAGAUUAGUGCAGUAUGUGAUGUUCGCCAGUAGACAUAAAUUGUCUCCCAAGGAGAAGGCUUAAAACGAGACAAAUAUAAGAAAUGGUAGUGACCAAGUUUACUGCAUUUUAUGCAAAAUUUUCUGUCUGUCCUCAAUAAAAUAAGUCUACCUGAGAAGUGAUCUUAUAUUGGUUUUCACCCAGCCAUUAGUUUCAUUUGAGAGUCAUAUCUUUUCAUUCUCCAACAUGUAAAAUCUAUGGUGUUUCUUACCUUGGGCAUCAUUACUUAGCUUUAUUGUUUCCCAUAAGAUGGGUCAAAAUCACAGAUAUUUAAACAAGCGAAGGGUCACCAGACCUAAACUGUAAAAUCACUCUCUACAUAUAUGUGUAAGCUUCUAUUCCAUCAAAGUACUGUAUUGAUUCAUAACCAUAUUUUGAACCUACGAUAUAUAUGGUGAAAUCACUCAAAUAUGCCAAAGAUUUGCGUUACAAAGUUCUAUAGCCCUAAGACGAUACUCAAUAGCUGGCUAUCAUAUAACCGGUGUUCCAAUUGCUAUUACAGAUAUAGUGGCAAAAAUGACCAAACAUUGAUUAAACCAGGAAUAGCAACAAAUGGCAGCACAAGUCACAUGCAAUCAGUAAGUUUUGUCAGAUAGGUCCUAGGAAGUCCACUAAUUCUUGUCAAGUUCUAUCAUCAUGAGAUAAUAGUUAAUCACUAUCAUCAUGAGAUAAUAGUUGAUCACUAUAAGUUAUUAAGCAAAUGUCAAGACUGUAAGUUUACAAUCAUGGUUUUUAAGCAACUCACAGGUUUUGGCAUCAGAUAGUCUAUCUUCACUUUCAUUAAUGCGAGCACCUCUCACACUCCCCAAAGCUCUAUAACUUCUCUUGGCUUGCUUCUGAUCCUUCGAAAUAUACUUGACAUGAGUUGAACAUCUAUACUGUCUCUCUGACCUAAAACAUUGGAGUAUGUUAUAUAGAAGAUAAUCCUAAUUAUGCAGAAAUUUUAACUAGCUAUUACUGCUUUCUUUUGUGAUUUAAUCUAGAGACUGAGAAACGAUGAGUUACCAUGUUAAGAGAUAACGAGAGUGAAGCUUGAGACAAAUUUGAAAGCUUCGAUUGGCAAUAAAAACAGCCAUAUUUGUUUAACAAACCUGUCACCUGCAGUGAACCACAAAGGUCGCAAAAAGCGUUAAUAAAAAGUCCAAACUAUGCUGAAAAAUUUGUUAAUAAAAAGGCACAAACAAUUUCGCUUCUACAUUGAUAACCUGACAUGAAGUUGAUAUGAAGAUGCAUCUCAGAUGACAAGAAAAUAGAAAAUCAUGUUUCUGCAUGAGCAGAUAUUCCUGCAAAUUUGAGUUUUCACAUAUGCCCUUCAACAACUUAAUUUCCUACCAUCAAUGAGAAAAUUGUCCCCAUAAAAGAAUGUUUUAAAAGGUUAUUUUUGUUAGGAACUGCACUUUCUAGAAAAUUCAGAUUUUACAGAGUAAUAUAUGUAAAUAGAUGGUUUUGGAGGGAUAUAGCUGUAAAUUUCCAAGAAAUGUUUAUCCUUUUGAUGUAUAGAGGGCAAAUAUUAAACUAGGCACCAAACCAGUUAUUCAAAAUGUUACGACAAACGCACAAACGGAAACAAAAUAGCGAACACGAAACAAUCAAACCACAAGCAGAAAAUAAAAAGAACACACAGAUUUAUAUGGAAAACCCUUUGUAGGGAAAAAGCCACGGGCGAGAGAGGAGAGAACUUCACUAUCGAACGAAAAAGGGAAUAUAAUGUUCAGAUCAUACAACCAACCAUGAUCUCACGCCUCUAGGGCAAAAACAAAAAGGAAACUCUUAACGGGUUUCGGAUCUGAUCUGUACCGCCCUACGCCGCUACCCACCACAGGCAUUCAUUUUUUCCUCACAAAAUUGUUUUCCAAUUUGGUCGCACCGCGAAGCUGUCGGCGAGUCGAAAACCCGAACUUGAGUCGAUAAUCAAUUUCGAGUCACAUCUAACACAAAAAAGAAAGGUAAAAAUGUAUUGAGAACCCCACGACUAUAUGUUGGCUUAAAUGGGCAUACAUCCUACUCUAUGGCGGGAGGCCAGGUUGGGCUAAGCCAUGUUCGAUGUGGCCUAAGUCAGAUUGUGCCGUGUCAUAUUCGAAGUGGCUUGAGAUUAGUUGGGCUGAAUCACAAUCAAGACCCGUGUUUGUACACUUUAAGUGAAUUGAUUGCAUAUUUUUAAUAGCUCAAGCUUUUGGGAUUAAUGGUUAGCGCAACGACCCGACAUUAUAGGCCAUUUUGGAAUGGAAUAUUCAACUAUAAUUUUUUUUUUAUCGACACCCCUUUAGCUUCUUAUUUUUCUUAUUUGAGCUUUUAUAGUUAAUUUUAAGUUAAAAUUUUUUGUUAUGGCUCAAUUAGCUAUCAACACUUAAUUAAUCUAGUUUUAUUCACUAGAAAGUAGAAAGUAGUUUAAACAAUAAAAUUUGAGGGAAUAAAUUGUUCAAAUCCCUAAUUUAUUUGGCUAAAAUCACUCAAUUACAAAAAAAAAAAAGGUCAGUAGUUGAGGUGGUUUUAAUCAAACCAAUUAUACUUCUGGGGCCCAUUUCAGACUGGACUAUAGUAGAGGGGGUCUCCAUACAUUUUCACCGCAAAAAGAAAGGGUUAAAAUAAAAAAUAAAUAAAAAAUAAAAAGAAAAACUAAACCCUCGAAAUUUACUAUCCAAAAUACUUAAAUUUAGCAUGUGAUUAGUUCCACUCAUUAGAACAUUCCCAAGCAAAAACAAUCACAUAAAAUUUUUAGUUCAAAAUUAUUACAUUUUGAGCUGUAGAUUCACUUAUUUUCUAUAGAAAAUUAACAUUUUUAGGAGAUAAAAUUGAUUUAUUUAGCUCAAAAAAACCAUUUACAAAGCUCACAAGAGGUUAAAGCUCAUAUCAUCGUUCUCAUGGAGAUUAUAGAGAAAUUGCGAGUAAAAUGAGCAAAAAUUGAAGCAAAAAAAAAAGAAGAAAACAAAUAGAUCAAAGUAUAUCAAAAUUUGCGGAAUUAAACGUACGAAUUCGUUUUUGGCAUGGCGAUUAGCGGAAUCGGAGGGGCGACGCAGGGAAAUUGGCGAAUCGCAGGGUUUAGGGUUCGGGAAUUUGGGGAUCGUAUUAUUCGCCGUCCUAUUGUUACCGGGGGUCGAGCACAAACUACUACAAUACAAAGUCGGAGUUUUUGUAAAUUUACAGAACAAACGAUGGACCAGGUCCACCACGUCAGCCGUGAUCCGGUCAUUUCGUCUAUGCGCAUUUCAUAGCGCACUGUGUACUCCAACACCUAACAGAUUCCAUUACAGAAUCUUUCCUACGAAGCUCGACAUCAGCAUAAGCACUAACCAAACCCUGCUCGUUUUCAACAGGGAUACCGUAUAUCGGCGGCACUUGAGAAAAACACCGUCACACAUCACAAAGUAGCUCACGAAAGCAAAUCGUAACAAAAAUUGCCGACAUAACUGCGCCCAAAAUCGAAGUGUAAAUACAGAAAACAUGCAAGAAAUAAAGUUUGAACCAAUAGAAAAAUAUAGAAAAAAGCAACCAGAUAGUAAGAUACCACCACAGAAAAUGCACGUUAUUAUCUUAUGACCAAACAAACUCUCGAUCAGUAAAAAUGCGCGGCCAACCAACUGGCCCUAUAUCGUCGGCGUCAGAAUAAGCAAACAUGUAUUAGCAGAAAAAUAAAAUAGUGAGCUCAAGGUGCACAUCGUGCUGCAAACAAAUACCAAGGCAUAAGAGAACAGACCUAUAUUCCAACUAGAAAUUGAUUGUAACAGAGUCCCGUGAGCUUUGAUAUAGACUGAGUGGCAGCGAUCACCAAAACUAGGAAGAAAGUAAAAAAUUUAAAGCAAAUCCGACCUCUUGCUCCCCAAAAAAGGCAGGAAAUAUAGGAACGAAACCACAACCAAAGGAAGGACAAAGAAGCCACCAAAAUGAAAAGCGAACCGAAGAACAAAUUAAAACAGGCAGAACAAAUUGCACCUGUCUAUUUUUUAUAUCAGAGUAAAAUGUCGAACUGUUGAUAAAUAACCCAAUAUUGUUGAUAAGUUUAGAUUUAUUUCUGCCAGGUUUAUCUCUUAAUAUUUUGUUGGUUAGAUAUAAGAGAUAAGUUUAAAUCUUGUUCAGUUAUUCCUAUUAGGAUUUUUAUUUUAUACCUAUAUAUAGACUGAUGUAAUUGUGUAGAAAAUUAUCCACCACCAAAAUUUAGUCCAAAAAUAUUUAAUAAAGUUUUUAAUUUAAUUUGCUGCAAUACUUCUCUGAUUCCUACAAGUGAUAUUAGAGCCAAGUUGAGAAGAAAAUAUCGUCAGCUUCAUGAUCGAGGACAUAGAACGUGCCGACAUCACGAUCUCCAUCGACAUCGACAUCGAUAGUUGAUCAUGACUCUAAACAGGAUGAUUCAACCAUAGCUUCUGAAGUUUACAGGAAAGAACUUCGAUUACUAGAGUAUCCAAAUAAAAUGCUUAUUCUCAUCUCAGGAGUUAUGGAAUAUUAUGAAGGAUGGCUUCAAAGAUGUCACUGAUAAGUGAGUUUCAAACGCUCACUGCUGCAAAGAAGGAGGCGCUCAAAGAUUACCGAAAGAAAGACAAAAAGGCACUAUUCUUUAUGUAUUAGAAGGUGGAUGGAGUUGUUUUUGAGAGAUUAUCGAAUGCUAAGACAGCAAAAGAGGCUUGGGAGAUGCUUGAGAGAAGUUAUCGAUGUGCAGAUAAAGUAAAAAGGUAUGAAUCCAAACUUUUAAAGGUGAAUUUGAAUCUUUACAGAUGAACAAAGGUGAAUCAAUCGGCGAUUAUUUUAGUCGGGUAGUAUCCGUAUCAAAUCAAAUACGGAUGAAUGGAGAAAACUAGCACGACAAAUUAAUUGUUGAAAAAAAUCAUGAGAUCAGUUAUUGGCAAAUAUGAUCACAUCGUUUCUUCGAUUGAGCGGCCAAAGACAUGGACAGCCUAAUAGUAGAAGAUUUGCUGGGAUUAUUCCAAGCUUACGAACAACGUGUGAAACUGAGAGCGCAACGCACAGUUGAAUAAGCUCUCAAAACCCAAUUGACAAUUAGCGACAAAACUUAGGGAGGAAACAGAGACGGCAGAGGACGCAGCAGUAGUGGCGGACGCGGAUGAGGCCGCGGAAGAGGCCGAAGCCAAAGCGAAACAACAGUUGGUGAUACAGAUGGUUCAAAUUCAAAUAGAAGAACAAGAGGGAGAGAUAAUUACCACAAUCAGCAAAAGUAUAACAAAUCUCGAAUUCAAUGUUAUUAUUGCAAUAAAUAUGGGCACUAUCAAUCUGAAUGUAGAAAAAAACAAGCGAAUGAGCAAAAUAAUAUUAAAUAAAUUUUAUUGCAAACAAGGAUGAAAAUUUCAAAUUUAAGGAUGAAAAUACUGCACAUAUGCUUCUUGUUUGCAAUAUUGUUGAAACACCAAAAAAUAAUAUUUGGUAUUUAGAUUCAGACUGUAACAACUACAUGUGUGGUAAAAAGGAGAUGUUUAUAAAUUUAAAUAAUAAAAUAAAUAAUAAACUUAAAUAAUAAAAUAAAUAUAAUGGCAAAACUGGGAGAUGAAAGAAAAAUUAUUAUUGAAGAAAAAUGUGACAUUUUAAUUCGAGCACUUAAUGGUGAUCAUAUUAUAAUAUCUGAUAUUUAUUAUGUGCCUAGAUUAGAAUGUAAUCUAUUAAGUAUUUGUCAAUUUCAAGAAAAGAGUCAUGUUGUGCAUAUUGAAAGGAAAAUUUGCGAAUUGAAGGAUAAAGAUAAUUGAUUAAUUGCUAAAGUGCCAAUGACUAAAAAUCAUAUGUUUUCUUUAAGAAUUGAUAAUAAUACUUUACCAUAUUUAAAUAUAAUUGUGCAUGAUGAAUUUUAGUUAUGGCAUUUAAAAUUUGGUUCUUUAACAAAAUUGACUAGCAAAAAUAUGGUGAAGGGGUUACCCUACGUAAAUUAUCCAAAUCAAAUUUGUGAAGGUUGUAUUUUCGAAAAAUAACAAAGAGAUCCGUUUCCCGAAGGAAAAUCCGUUAAAGCCACAAAGCCUCUACAGUUGGUUCAUACGGAUUUGUGUGAGAUGGAUAGGCACUUCAUUAGAAACAAUAAAUAGUUUAUGACUUUCAUUGAUAAUUUUAGCAGAAAAUUGGGUUUAUUUUCUAAAAGAAUAAUCAGAAGCUUUUAUUGCAUUCCAACAGUUUAGAGCACUAUCUGAAAAACAGAGCAAAAAUUAUUUGAAAGUUCUACGUUCAGAUGGUAGAAGAGAGUAUUUUUCUACAGAAUUUAAUGAGUUUUGCAGGGCACAUGGAAUUAUGCGCCAAAAUACCGUAGCCUAAUCACCGCAACAGGACGGCGAGGCAAAAAGAAAAAAUCGCACAAUUGUGGAAAUGACAAGAAGCAUGCUUAUUAAAAAAGGUAUGUUGAAAACUUUUUGGGCUGAAGCUGUUUCAUGUGCAGUUUAUAUAUUAAAUAAGUGUCCAACAAGUCGUGUGGCAAAUAAAACACCUGAAGUAGUAUGGAGUGGAAGAAAACCUAUAAUAGCGUAUCUACGUAUUUUCAGAUGAAUGGCAUAUGCAUAUUUUCAAAACAAAUGAGAAAGAAAUUUGAUGACAAAAUAGUUAGAUGCGUUUUUAUCAGUUAUGCAGAAAAUAUGAAAGCUUAUAAAUUAUAUAAUCCGGUCGCAGAAAAAAUCAUAAUCAAUAGAGAUGUGAAAUUUGAUGAAACUAAAUCAUGGGAUUGGAAAGGAAAAGAAAAGAUAAAUAAAGGCAUUAGCAUUCAAUUUGAAGAUAAUUCUCAGAAUUAAGAAAAGCGUGCAUCGGAUCCUCCUACUGCACUAGCAUCCCCACCCUCGUUGUUAUCAUGUUCUUCGCCUUCUUCUUUGAAGGAAGGUGUUCAACGAAACCCUCCACGAAAUAUUACAAUGCCUGUAAAAUUGAAAGAUUAUAUUAUUAAUGAUACUGACAAUGAUAAUGAUAGUGAUUUAACCACUACAACAAAAAAAGUCUAUAGCGACACUUUUAAAUGUAGGUACAUGUCAAAAAAGUGUUGCUAGCUAAAAUUACCGACAUUUUUAAAAAGUGCUGCUAUAUGUGGGGUCGCUAGGUAUAUAAUGACAGUUAAAGAGUGUCGCUAUAACCUAAAAGAGUGCUGCUAAUUUACCAACACUUAUUUAAGCAUUUAGCAACCGCUGAAACUCUAUCUCGUUGGCUGCGGUGGCGGAGGAGGACGACAGGAAAGGCUCUUCGUCUAGAAUUUCAGUGGAUUGAGUGAAGAGAGAAGAAAAGAUGGUAAUUGAUUUUUCUUUUUUUUUUUCUUUUCCAUUUGUAAUCGGGCCAAAUGGACUGGGUGUGGUGGGUUGAGUAGAGUAAUCUUUUAUUUUUGAUUGGAUUGGACUUUAUAUUUAGGCAUUAGUAGAUGUUUUUUUAAGUUUUAGGAUAAAUGGGACACUUACUCAAAAGUGUCCCAAACAUGUAUCCCUAUAACCUAAUUCUGUUGUAGUGAACCCACUACAUCAUGUUUUUAAAUUGUGAUCCUCUCAAGUUUGAUGAAGCGGCGAAAGAAGAAAAGCGGCAUAAAGCCAUGUGUGAUGAAAUCGAAGUGAUCGAGAAAAAUAAAACUUGGGAGUUGACAAAACUUCCAGAAGGCCAAAAAGCAAUUAGCGUGAAGUUGGUAUACAAAACCAAGUACAAACAAGACAGGUCGAUCGAUUGCCAUAAAGCUAGACUCGUUGUAAAAGGCUACAAGCAGAAGCUCGAUGUUGAUUUUCAUGAGGUGUUUGCUCCCGUUGCCAGAUUGGAGUUGGUGCGGCUUCUAAUUGCUUUAAGGGCACAAAAACAGUGGAAGAUCCAUCAGAUGAAUGUCAAAUCUGCCUUCCUCAACAGUUUUCUCGAUAAAAAAAUAUAAAUAGAGCAACCGUCAGGAUUUACACCAAAAAGUGAAGAAGAGAAAGUUUACAAAUUGAAAAAGACAUUGUAUAGCUUGAAGCAAGCUCCGCCAGUCUGGUACACACGUAUAAAUCUAUACUUUCAAAAAGCCGAAUUUCACAAGUGCCCUCGUGAACAUGCUAUUUACAUUAAAAAUAAUUCUAACGAUGAUGUUUUAUUUAUUUUCCUCUAUAUUGACGAUCUUAUCUUUACAAAAAAUGUUUCUGUUAUGAUUGAAGAAUUCAGAAAAAGCAUGAUUAAUGAGUUUGAGAUGACCAAUAUGGGCCAUAUGGCUUAUUAUCUGGGCAUUGAAGUUUCACAAAGAUAUGAAAGUAUUUCUAUUUCUCAAAAGAAAUAUGCAGGAAAAAUACUUGAAAAGUUUCACAUGGCAGAUUGUAAACCGGUCGUUAUUCCAGUAGAGAUCGGAUUAAAGCUCAACAAGAAAGGAAACGGAAAGCCUGUUAACAAUUGGUGGGAAGCCUGCGCUACUUAACUGCAACUAGACCAGACAUAGCCUAUGGUGUUGGGUUGAUCAGCAGAUAUAUGGAAAAGCCAACUCAGAUGCAUCUACAAGCAGCAAAGCAUAUUUUACGUUAUACAAAAGGAAUGGUCAACUAUGAUAUUUUUUAUGCUUACGGUGGCAAAUUCGAAUUCAUUGGAUUCACCGAUAGCGAUUGAGCCGGUAACGUAGAAGAACGGAAAAGCACAUCAGGCAACGUAUUUUUUCUUGGAAGCAGCGCAUUCACAUGGUCAUCGAAGAAACAGGAUAUCGUAGCUCUCUCAACAGUAGAAGUCAAAUAUGUAGCGGUAUCAGCAAGCGCUACACGAGCAAUUUGGCUUAGAAGAGUUCUUGAAGAAUUUGGUGAAAAUCAAAAGGCACCUACAAAAAUAUUUUGUGAUAAUAGCUCGGCUAUAGCAAUCGCAAAAAAUCCGAUUUUUCAUGAAAGGUAUAAACAUAUUGAAAUCCGCUAUCAUUACAUUCUAGAACUUAUGAAGAAGAACAAAUUCGAACUACACUUUUGCAGAAGCUAGAAUCAAGUCGUCAAUAUAUUUAUGAAGCCGCUGACAUAAAAAAAUUUUGUGAAACUACGAAAGCUACUUGGAAUGCGAGAAAUUGGAUUAAGAGAGGAUGUUGAUAAGUAACCCAAUAUUUUUGAUAAGUUUAGAUUUAUUUCUGUCAGGUUUAUCUCUUAAUAAUUUUGUUUGUUAGACAUAAGAGAUAAAUUUAAACCUUGUUCAAUUAUUCCUAUUAGGAUUUUUAUUUUAUGCCUAUAAAUAGACUGCUGUAAUUGUGUGAAAAAUUAUCCACCACCGAAAUUUAGUCCAAAAAUAUUUACAAAGUUUUUAGUUUAAUUCGCUGUAAUACUCCUCUCGUUCCUACACGAACAAUCUAAGAAAGAAGGAAAGGAUGAGGGUAAACACGUAAAUGGACAGGGUAUACAACCUGUCAUUGUGUCGCCCCCCAAUCUCCACCAACAACCGUUUCGCUCAGUUGCAGGAGGCCACGUCAUGUAGAAGUUAUCUUUCAUAAUAUAGGCUUUAUUUUGUGAUUAUCAAGAAUUAGUAUUUUCCAAUUUUUUAAAAAUUUUUAAUUAUUUAAUCCAGUAGUUAAGGGGGGGAAUCAAAAUUGAAUACAAAAUUGAUAGUCCUGAAGUGCACCUAAUGCUCUCUCUCUCUUUCUCUCUCUCUCUACCAUCACUAUUUACUACGAGUGGUUGGUAUGCUGAGUUCCUUAUUAAGAAGUCAGGAUUUCGAUCUUCACGUAUACUUUUAUUAAAGAAGUAUUCUAAGGAAAAGGUUGGAUUCCCUACAUGCACAUGUAUUAAUGAUGUGAUUUAGUUCUCUGAUUUCUGGAGUGGAAAAAAAAAAUGACCACCUCUAGAAAAGUUUUUAAAAAAAAAAUAUUUGCUCUCUCUUUUGAGAACUCAAGUGAAGGAAAUAUAAUUAGAAAUAAUUUUGAUUUUACUAAAUUGGGUUAACAGAAAAUAGAAAAUGAUGAGAAAAAUUUCUGUCCACCACAAAUAUUUAGAAAGUUUUAUUUUUGUGAUUAUUGGGAGUAAGCCUCUUUAUUUUUUUAAUAAUUUUUUAAUUUUGUAAUUCCGGGUUGCCUAUUAAUUAAGAGAUUGGGAAUUCGAUUUCCUGCAUACGUCUUUAUUAAGUGAUUUAUUAGUCUCCAGCUUUUUGAGUGAAAAAGAGUUGAUGAUCAAAACAGAUCAAGGGCUCGGAUCCACUGCAUAUAUUUUUAUUAAAGGUGUUAUUUGGCAUUCCCUCUAACUCCUGAAGAGAAGAAUAUAUAUAUAUAUAUAUAUAUAUAUAUAUAUUGAAUUGAGCUCCUGUACUUUUAAAAGUACCAAGUCAUUGGUGUUUGUAAGUUUUUGGCCCUUGGAUUAAGAGAUGUGCGGUUAGAAUGAUAUGGGCCCCUUAGGGUUGAGUGGGUGGUUGGUUUAAUAGUAUAAUCUAACGGAUAAAAAUGAUCAAAGGUAUAGAUCUAACGGUAAAAAAUUUACAAGCACCAAGUGCUUGGUGCUUGUACAAGCACCAUAGCCGAACUAUAUAUAUAUAUAUAUAUAUAUAUAUAUAUAUACACACAUGCGACUAGCUCUAUGGGAACUUUUGUCCACUGUAAAUCUUUUUAAAGAAUAAUUUUCUGAUCAGUUUCAUCUCAAAUAAUUUUGGCAGUAUCGCAUAAUGGGCAGAGUCCAAAAUUCGAGACACAAUUUUUUUAAAAAAAGAAAUUAUCCAUGCUAAACUUAUCGUUUACUAUUCUUUGAUCUCCCCUAUACUUGGGUGUAAACUUUACACUCUAGCAUUCAAGCGCUGUAUAUUACUUUGCUUGUCAGAUCAAAAUUUUUUGGGAUUUUAUAAAUUAUUGAAUAAAAGAGGUGCAAGAUGUACACUCCUUUUGUAUAAUGUACAAAUAGCAUUUUCCAUAAAAUUUAAGUAAAGAUGUGUGAAGGCCCCUCAACUGUAGGCCCUUCUGAAAAAGGGCUAGAAAAUAAAGUUUUUAUUAAAAACCCUCAAUUUUUCUUAAUUUUGAACUAAAUUAUUUUAGCCAAAUAAAUCAAAAAUUUUACCAAAUUUGUGGAGAGUUCCAUCAAGUUUAAUAUUUUAAACAACUUGUUUCGAGGAGGAAAGAAAAAAACUAGAUUAUAGCUGCUAACAACUAACCAAGCCAUAAAACUUAACAAAAAAAUUUAAAUUAAUUAACUAUAAAAACCUGAAUAAAAAAUUAGAAGCUAAAUAGGUAUUGAACAAAAAAAGGUUUAAAGUUAAAGAGUGUAUUAUAGAAUAGCCUAUAGUUGAGGGGGUCACUGUACAGUUUUUAUUUUUAAAAAAAAAAGUUACACUCCGACAUUUGAAAUAGUUCUAUAUAUAACAUAUAAUAAAGCUAAAUUUCUUAACACGGUUAUAGUAUUUUGAACGGUGACUAUGCUUGAGAGAUUAAGAAGGUUAAAUGUGUUAAGAUAGAAAACUUUCAUGAUGGAUGGCCUUUUUGGGAAGCGAGCCGUCGCAAUUGAUAAUAAAGUGAAUCACCAGCUAAAAAUGUGAAAUGUGAAAUGUGAAAUAAAUCUCGUACAAGUCAAAAAUCAGGGUCCAAGAAUGACAUAAUAGGUUAGAAUCUAUAUGAGAAGCUAGCGAGAUAAAUCUCACACCGCCUAUUGCUAUAUCUAAAAUAUAAUAGGACUAAACCAGUUAUAAUAUUUUAGACAGUAACUACGCCCAAGAGUCUAAGGACGUUAACCAUAAAGGACUAGAAUAAUUUUAAAAUGGAUGACCUCUUGGAAAACAGAGCAUCACAAAAAGUUUAAAAUGUCAAUAAAAAAAAUCUCUCAAAAAAUUAUUGCUCAUUAAUUGUAGUAAACUCAAAUAAAAAUUAUUUUCCUGUAAUUUUCCAACAAAAAAGUCACAAUUUAAAGUUUUCUAUACAAAGAAAGGUUCAAGGACAAAAAAAAAAAAAAAAUUACAGCAAUCAAAUACAAACAUACAGUAAAUACAUCUUUACAAUGAACAGUUUCCAAUCCAUAUUUGUAGCGACUUCAAAAGCUUUACAAUUCGAAACAAAAGCAGCAAAAUCCGAAGGAGUCGAACGAGAUUAUACAAAUCCAACUAGGUUUUUUUUUAUUCCUUCUCCACUUAAUCGCACAGAUCUUGCGAAACGAAGAAUCUCAAGCAUCCUCAACUUCUGAGUGGAACACAAAGCUCGGAAAUGUGGUUGUGAUGUCCCUGAUUGCGAGAUCGAUAUUAGUGAAAAUCAAAGAGAGUCACAUAAACUUUAGCAUCUGCAAAAUGGAAUUGAAAAGAUGCCGUAUUUGAUAAAAUUUAAAGCAGCAAAAUCCUAAUUGUGUUCAAUGUAAGCAAAGAUAAUAUAUAGCGAAUAAAGAUGAUUAUAAUCAUAUCCUAAUAAACUAAUCUGUUUAGAAAUAUUCCCUUGUGAAUCUAACUUUUCACAGUGCCUUUCAACAACUCACUUUCUUACUAUUGCACCUUGCAUAACGAACUUUCAUCUUCGGAAACUUCUUUUAUCAUCUUCGGAAACUUCUUUUAUCGAAAGGGGUGUUUAAUAUCCGUAACUCAAGUCCAUGGAGGUAUUGAGUCGCACGAACUCUACUUUGCGCCCACCCAGAGUGAAGUCGAGAAUGGACACUGUGUGGGAAAUAGGGACUCCUUGUCACGCUCUAUAUGGCCGCAAAGUGGUUUUGUUAACUUUAUUACCCAAAAGAUCGAUUUAGUAGGAAACAAAUCCAGAAAUAUAUAUUAACGCUCCCCACUCACGUGCAUGAUGGAUAUAAAAGGCACGUGAAAUUGAUAGGUGAGGUAGGAGAUGGAGAUUUAACCCAUUAUAUAAUGCAGAAAUUUAACCUGUUAAAUGUUGAAAAUAGGGAUUGAACCCACGACCUCACAAAAUGAAGGGUUUAGAAUUGGCUUUAAUAAUAUAUCACCCAAAAGGCUAUCUCACUUAUUAAUUUCACGUGCCUUUUAUAUCCAUCAUGCACGUAGGUGGAGUUGUUAGUAUAUAUUUCUCGGCCAGUUUCCUACCAGUUUCCUAUUAGAUCGAUCUUUUAAGUACUAUGGUAUCAAAGUAGGAGGUCUUGAGUUCGAGUCACGCCAGACUCCUAGCAUCAUUGAUUUUCACCUAUGUAAUUCAAGUCCACGUCUUAAACCUAUUUAAAAAGUCCCCAGCUCAGAUAUGAUGGGAAGUGUUGAAUAUAAAAACAUAAAAACAUGAUUCUCUACUAGUUUAAACUUUUAGAGAACAGCGGUUGUUUAAUAUAAUUUCACAGACUUCGCGCAUCGAUCCAGACACACCGUCGUCUGACUUUCUCAAACCGAUGAGCUCUAUGAUGUACAUAGAAACGCCCCCUAGCUAAAAAAACAACUACCACUCCUAGGAUUUGGCUCAUUAAGAUUGACUCCUUAUUUGAGAGCAUUUUUGUGAUAAACUCAAAUUUGGAAGGCAUGUAUAUGUUGCAUUAAAUUAGGAGCACGAAUGUGAAUAACAAUUUGUCAAAAUAAUCAAAGGGCAUAUGUGCAAUCCCAUAUAAUACAGGGUUAUAAAUGUGAAUUUAUGAUUUUCCAAGUAAUUUAUUCAAAGAUUGAAAAAUAUACUAUGUAAAACCUACUCUUUUCGUGGAAAAGAAGGCAUUUCCUUGAUUAAACAUGUUAUGGAUAUGCAAAUAAUUUACCAUCAGAACCUCAACAAGGAGGAUAGUUCAAUUAAAAGAUUAAAGGGUAAAUUACACUUUUGGUCCUCAAACUAUGAGGUGCGUGAACACUUUAGUCCUCGAGCUUUAAUUUGUUACGAUUUCUGGCUUUAACAAUAAGGUGCGUGACACUUUAGUCCUCAAAAUUUAAUUAAUCGUAAUUUAUGGCUUGAACUAUGAGGUAUGUGACAUUUUAGUCCACAAACUUUCUGACUUGUAGCAAUAUCUUACUUAAUGAAGCCAACAAUAAUUAAAAUGCUAUAUUACUUCGAUAUUAGAAAUUCAUCAAUACUUAUUCAAAAAUAAAUGGGCUGUGGGACUUGAUUGCAACAAUUUGAAAAGUUCGAGGACUAAAGUGUCACAUGCCUUAUAAUUCAAGCCAGAAAUUGCAACUAAAUUAAAGUUCGAGGAUUAAUGUGUCACGCACGUCAUUUGAGGACCAUAAGUGUAAUUUACCCUAGAACUAAAAGAAGGGCUAAAUAUAUGGAUAGUUACUAUACAAUCAAAUGUCACAACUUGGUCCCUAUACUUUUAUUGUAAACAUUUCAGCCGCUGAAAUUCUAGCAUAUUGCACUUCAGUCCCUAGUCAUAAAAGGGAAACUCAUCUCAUAAAAUUAUCCUAUUAAAAGAAGGCCUAAAUAUAUGAUCAUUUUACCCUUGUCUCGUAAAAUUACUCACUCAAUUAUUGACUUCAAACUUUUCUUGUGAUGGUCAGAAACUAAAGUGUCAUAUACGUGAAACUAAGCGAGCUGAAGUAUUAAAUUAAAAAGUAAAGGGACCAAGUAGUGAUAUCUGGGUAGUAUCAGUACCAACACAUUCUACCCUUGAAAUCUAAUUUAAUUCUAGUGUCAUGGAGAAAUCUGAGUUCCAAAUUUUCUAAGAAACCGCUGUGAUCCUAUAGAUUCAAGACCAAUAACAUUCCAUGGUUGUUCGACCCAAAACCUAGGAUCCUUACUACUCCUAAAUUGGGAAUCCACUUCUCUGAGAAAGAAAACUAGGUUAAAUAACAAAAUCACGCCCACACUUUCCCCCUACAAAACUAACUCCUUGUAAUUUUAACCGGCAGAGCAUCAACCUUAACUCCUCUCAAAUAAGCUUCAUGGAAACUCAACCUUCUGCCUAACCAAUCAAUUCUUCUGGGGGGUUUCACAUCUUCAAGUUCUUUGGAAAAAUGCAAUAUUUUGGAGUUUGCCAAGUAGCAGCAAAGAAAAAAAAGCUACAAUAAACAGCGAUUUGCAUUCAAUGUUUUAGUGCACAUCAGCAUGGGUCGUGACCACCGUGCCGUACCCUACCGAUAAGAUAUCAACACGGUACAACCCCUGUGCCGACAACACAGAUCAACACCUCUUUUCCUUGAUAUUAGCAAGUAGUUAUCUCAAUAAAGUGUAAAACAUUUGAUAAAGAUAUCUAAUAAGUAAUUACAAUAUAUUGGUGUCAAAGAAAAUAGAUAUUUCACGUCAUAGUGUGUUGGCACAUAGAUAUUUUUUUUAUAACCGGCACAAAUCGGCACGACAUAGCAUGCACCGUGUCAUACCAUGCGAGCAAGUUCUCGGUAUGACCUUAUGUCACGACACUUAAAUCCUUGUUUGCAUUCUUUUUAGUCAAGAGUUUAAAAUUUUAAAGCGUUUGGAUUUACCUGAGGUACGGAAGGGUCAUAUUCUUCAAGAGAGAAGGAUGCCUCAACACAAGAUUGCGCCACUCUUCCUUGUCGAUUCUCCCGUCGUGCUUUGUGUCAGCCUCCUCAAAAGUCUAUGACACAAAAAAGGGAGGAAAAAAAGCAUCUUCAAGCAAUGUAUUCAAAGUAGAAGUAAAUAUCAUGGGAAAAUUGCACCACUAGUCCAAACUCUGAGCCAAGUUCUACUUGGUGCUCAAGCUUCUGAGCUCAACUUCGAUGCCCAAAACUUUAAAAUUGAUUCACUUUAAUCCUCCUCUGAUUUAUUAAUAAAGUUACAGCCUACACCAAGGGUAUCCAUAUAUCCUUGUACCACGCAUCCAUUUGCCCUCGAUUCCAUUUCCUGUUUCAAUCCCUGCAAAGCAUUGAUUUGAAGCCUUUUCUCUACUUAGAAAUUGAUAAUUGGAUUGGAAGGAUGAUAUGGAUGGAGAGCCAAUGGAUUCAUAGUGCACGGAUGUAUUGAUGCACCAGAUCCAUGCAAUAGCUUUUCCCCUAAGGCAAGGGCUGAAGUGCAGCGCUUCCAAAAGUCUCUAGUGUUGAAUGUCAACUUAGGAAUAUGAGGACUAAAUCGAAACUCAGAAACUAGCAGUCAAUCUACCCAAAAUCCCAUCCUUGCUGAAAGUGUUACCAGUACUAUAAAGAAAAAUGAAAAGAUUAACCAACCGGUAAAGACUAACAAUAGAAAACUCAUUUAACACGAGAAAACAAAGGAGGGACCAACAAACAUGUGUAGAGCAGCAUGGGUUAAUAUUAGAAAAUUUUACAGAAAGAAGUUGAUCCUAACAGCUAGAAAUUCCUCUCUUCCUAGAAAAUCAAGGCUAUGCUCUCAGGAGAUCAUUGAUUAAAGGAACAGGCGUAUUCAAAAUUCAUUUUCGAAAGGCCCAAAAAGAAACCAAAAUUGUUUAGGUAUUAACCUUAUCGAUGAUUUCUUCGAUGAUGUCAUCAGAAAGAUUCAUGCCGUACUCGGCCAAUGUUGCCACUACCAUUUGCUUUACCUUGAAUGGAAAAAGAGAUUGAAUUACACAAAAUUAAAUAAAAAUAUCUAAUGGUCCAAGAUAAAAGAACUGGAUAGUCUCAACAAAGAAGAUAAAACAUAAAAAGAGCUUGAAAAAUAGAAAAAGAGAUUAAAACCAUGUAAACCACCUCUCCUUAAGUUUAUAGUGUCUUAAUUACAUAAAAUAUGCAUAAUGUCUUAUUGUCUAUAAAGGAAACAAAAAACAGAUGAAGCUUUUAUUUAAGAGAAACAAACAAUCCAACUGCACGAUGAGCGUAACUUAUUUCACUAAAAAAGCUUUAUAAAGGACAGGGCUAACUUCAUACAUACCCACUCAAAAAACAUUGAAAUUUCAGGUACCCUAAAAGAAUUAAAGUAUCAUAUAUGCCCCCAUUAGGAAACAAAAUUACCUAAAUAAACCACUUUUCAGGGCAUUUAUCAAAAUGAUGCGUGCAUUUUCAGGACACUGAUGAUAUUUUCAGCAGCAUUUUUGAGUAUUUUGAUAAAUGUAAAAGGGCAUUAUGAUAUUGCAAAUAUGUUAUAGAGCACUUAAAGUAUUAAGUAUAUAUAUAUAUAUAUAUAUAUAUAUAUAUAUAUAUAUAGAGGCUACUAUGCUAUCGAAAGCACGGAGCCUUCCGUGCUUCCAGCUCGCUUUCGAUGUUGCGACUUUCGAAUCGUCGAUCGGCUCCGUUAAACUUGAUCUAGAGUAUUUGAAGUACCUAGAAAAUAAAUUUUAUGAUUUUACGAUAUCAUUUGCCUAGUGAACGAAGGGGCUCAAAAUCAACGGCUGAAAAUAAAAAUCUUACAAAAUGUAAUAAUAUGACAUUAAAAUUUUAAAUCAAAGAUAUUGAUCUUGUUUUAUAUAGUAUAAAGAAUUUUCUAUCAAAAUUUCACGUGAUUUGGAUAUUUCUACACCGUUAAACUUGCAAACGGCUCACUACGGCCAUUGAAAUUUGUUGAUUUUGAGCCCAUUCGAUCACUAGGCAAAUGAUAUCGAAAAAUAAUAAAAUUUAUUUUCUAGGUACUCCAAAUACUCUAGAUCAAGUUUAACGGAGCCGAUCGACGAUUCGAAAGUCGCAACAUCGAAAACGAGCUGGAAGCACGGAAGGCUCCGUGCUUCCGAUAGCAUAGUGGCCUCACUCAUAUAUAUAUAUAUAUAUAUAUAUAUAUAUAUAUGGUAGAAACGUACAGAACUUAUCUGAACUAGGGACCAUUUUGAAUCAGCUACCUAAACUUUCAAAAUUUUAAUUUUACUACCCAAGCUUUUAAUUUGUUUGAUUUGAGUCAAUCAAUGGUACUUUGACUUCCAAAUUUAAGCUAAUUACUUAGUUUAAUAAAUUUAUAGCUACGAGAAUUGCAUGAAUUAUACUAACUAAACCUAUAAAGAUAAACGACACAUUCAAAUUUUGAAAUCAACAACCGUUGACCAACUCAAUCAAAACAAACUGAAAGGUUGGGUAGUAAAAUCAAAAUUUUGAAAGGUUGGAUAGGCAAUUCAAAAUGGUCCAAAGUUCAGGUAAGUUCUAUGCAUUUUUACCUAUAUAUAUUUGGACUAAAAGCUGCGAAAGAAGCAGGGGGACAAGUAGACAAAGUAGGUCUAUAUAUCCAAAAUUCAGAAAAAAAAAAAGCUGUUACUUAGGACUAUACCUCUUGCCUUUCAAUAAACCCUUGUUGCUUGAGAUCAUACAGCUUGAAAGAAACUGCAUAACCAUACACACAAAGAAACUAAGUAGAUAGAAAACAUGAAAGGUUACUGGACAAGCUUUAAUAGUCUUCUCAAUAAUUAGUAAGGUUGAUCGGUUGAUGCAGUUAACACAACAGAAAAGUAUAAUUUUGCGCAACCUACAUUCAAUCUUAUCGUCCAUGGGAGCAUUUGGGUGGAAAACUGAGAGCGCACGUGCAAAUUCUUCGAAUCCUAGAGCCCCAUUAUGAUUCGUAUCAAACAAGUCAAAUACCUGCAAUUAAAUCUCUAUAGGUUAGCUAAUGUUCAUGUACUAACAAGCUAUAAGAACUAAUUAUGCAAGUUAAAUGAUUUAAACAGGGAAUCACCAUUGAAUUAAGCUAUUUCUAUACUGAGAUAUUUAGACACAUACAUGCACAAGAUUAUAUAUGUAUACAUACAUGCAUACAUACAUACAUACAUAUAUAUAUAUAUAGAGAGAGAGAGAGAGAGAGAGAGCUAGGUUGGUAUGCUAUCGGUAGCACAGAUGCCUCCGAGCUACCAAGUUAUUUUCAAUGAUGCGGCUUCCAAAUCGACGAUCGGCUCCCUUAGACUUGAUCUACACUAUUAAAAGUAUUUGGAAACUAAAUUUCAUAAAUUUUCGGCAUCAUUUGACUAGUGAUCAGAAAGUCUCAAAAUUGACAAUUUUAAUGGUCGAUGUGAUGCGUUUGUGAAUUUAACGGUGUAAAAUAAUCCAAAUCUGAUGAAUUUUUUAUAAAAUUUUUUUUCACUAUUUAGAGUAAGAUCAGUACCUCUGAUCUUAAAUUCAAAUCCUUUAUCAUCAUUUUUUAUGAGAUUUUUAUUUUUAGCCGUUCAUUUUUAGACUACUCAUUUGAUAGAUAAAUGAUGUCAAACAUUCAUAAAAUUUAAUUUCCAAAUACUCUCAAUAGUGUAGGUCAAGUCUAACGGAGCCGAUCGUCGAUUUGGAAGCCGCAUCAUUGAAAACAACUUGGUAGCACGGAGGCCUCCGUGCUACCGAUAGCUCUCUCUCUCUCUCUCUCUCUCUCUCUCUAUAUAUAUAUAUAUAUAUCCCUGUAAAUCCAAAUUUCAUAUAAGCCCUUCAAAAAAAAACUAUAUUACAUUAAUAACCCGGUACUUAAAAAAAUGGUCCUCUCUAAGAAAACUUUUUCUCAUAGAAAAAAUUUUCGAUCCAUGAAUUCUGAUCACCCAACUUAACACAAGGGCAUUUCUCUAAAAACUGCACUUUCGAAGGGUAUGAAUGAAAUUUCAGAAUUUACAGAGUUAGAUUAUUUCGCAGGCAUAUAGAAACAUAAAACUCCUUAUAUUUUCAUGUCAUUGUCAUAGGAAGCAAGCUUAUAACAUCUUCUCUCAUGUCUAGAGCAAGACACCGUAAAAACACCCCAACGACUUUUGGAACUUCAUCACUCAAAAUUAGGUAUCAGCACUGACUAGAAAAUUCACCUUUCUAUCUCGCUCAGAGUGGUGCAAAAUAAAGUGGGAAAGAAAAAAAGAAAUCACAAUCAUGCACUUUUAUCACAACAUACAGCACCAUUUUCAUUAUUUUGAUGCAUUAAAUAAUAAAAAAUUUCAUGAAGACAUUUGAUUCCUUCCAUCAAAAGGUCCAAAUGUAUAACCAAAUGGUGCAAAUGAGCACUCAGUAAUCAUAUAUAGAACCGUUUACUAAAGACAUAAUACACAUGAUAAACUUUAUUGUGUUUCUUCUAUGGAGUGAAAACUUCAGUCCAAACAGAGGUUAAAAAAAGGAAAAAAACCCUACAAGUUCAACCUUACUAUGCAUAGGUCACCAUACUUCGUUUGUACGUGUAUUAUAAAAGCUUAAUAUACAUACAAAUACUCCAUUGACACUUCCAUGUAUGCAAUGAAAUAAAUUACCUAAAGCAUGAUAUAUAAAUAAGUUGUGGUUUAGGGGAAUUACAAAGAUGUAUUACAGGUCAAAAGGAACUAAAACGUUUUAAAUAAUGCAACGACACUAAAAGAUAAUGAAACGACUUCGAAAACAAGCAUAUAGUGAUUAAGAAAAGCUUAAGCUCCAUAUCAUUUUUACCCGAUCAGCAAAUAAGCUUGCUUUUUUGUUAGUCUUGAAUAGUGCUAACUGGAACUCUUCCUGCGGGAGGAUGAUAAACAGCAACUCAAAGAAAUCGAAAAACAAAAAAAAUGAACAACAUUGUGGAACAUAAUAAAACAGGAGAAAAAUAUAAAAAAUAUUAAUUAUACCAUAAUCCUGCUAUAAGAUAUAAUACAAGCAUUCAUGAAUUUCUCGUAUUUUUCAAACUGAAAUUUACUAAAAUAUUAGAAUUCUAACAGGGUUAGAGCAAGCAUGACCAAUUGGAAAUUAAAGAAGAAGAAUGAAGAACAUUGGUUAGUGCAAUAUGUCAACAUCCUAGACAAACAAUGAACUUAAAAGUCAAGCUACUCAUCUGCCUAUUUGCAGAUUUAAAAGUUUGGAUAACUAUUUGCAAAUGAAUGAAAGUCAGGGUGGUUCUAGUGCAUUUAACACAAAAUGAAUUUAUACUGGUAUGAGCAGAUGCUAAGCUCUCAUUUUGCUCUAAACUGAUUAUAUUUUCAAACUAAAUUUGCUAUUUCAUGAUUUUAUACUAAUCCUAUUGCACAAGAUUCUGAACUAGUCCUAACCCAGAAAGCAACGAGUUGCAUAUGUUUUUGAGCCUACUCAUCUUAGUCCCAACCCCAAGCAUAAAACAGGUAGGGUCUGGGUUUAUCCUACAGAUUCCAAUUAGCUGGUGAGAUCAACAUGAGUGGUAUCCAUACCCACCCCAACCCAAUAGCAAAUUUAGACUCGAGGAAGUAUACAGUCUAAUAAUAGUCUUGUCUCCCUUGUCUUUUAUAUAGUUUGUAGAACUAGUUGAUGGUAAUUAAGUAUACAUUUUAAAAACACUGUCCUCUCAAAGCAAAGGAAGUAAGAGGCAUCUCUUUCCCUUAAACGGAGUCAGAGGCAUCUCCUUGCAAGUUCAUAUCUAAAAACUUCACUACUUUCGAUGCCUCAGGAAAUUUUUGUAUCAAACUUUUACUAUUGGAUUUGAUCAUUUAACCCCUAUAAGAACAAGUAAUGUGCAUUAAAAACUACAGCGACCUAUAUCUAUGCAUUACAAACAUUACUUAGGAGCAAUAUUGAAAGCAGAGAAUCAAACAUUUCUAGUUAUAAAAAAAUAAAAAAAAAAUUUAAAAAAGGAUCACAUAGCUUUCUAGUUUUAAUCUUCAUAUAACAGUUCUCACCUUGUUUAUAACCCCGUCAUCAACCACAGCACUACUUAUCUUUUUAAACAACUCAUACAAUGCUUCGAUCUCGCUUACACUAACUGCAAAUAUUGUUCACAACAGGAAUAAAAUCUCAGCAGAAAGUGCAGGAAGAAAGAAAAUAAGUGGCUGUGGAAAAAGAGGGUUAAGUACAAAUCUAUCCCUAAAGUUUGACCAGGAUUUCAAUUUCCACGUCAUAUAAUCCUAACAAUUGGCCCUGAAGUUUGCCUCUCAUUUCCAUUUCAUUCAACGAAUUUCAAAUAAAAUGAUUUUGUCACUUACUUUUGAUCUGAAUUUCAAUUCCUUCCUCAAAGCUUCUAUUUUAACUAAGAAAAAUGUAAUGAUGCGUCUUCAUUUUGCCUUUGACAGACAGUAUUAGCAAACUUCAAGGACUGAAUUGUUAUAUUUGAAACUGUGACGAUGAAAUUAAAAGAAAGGUCAAUCUUCACGGGCCAACUUUGCAACUAAACCUGUGGAACAGAACAUCAUUGUUCCUUUAUAAAGCAAAAUCGAAUCAAACAUACACACUGUUUCCCUUGCUAGGCGGUGCGGAUCCUUGAGGCCUCUCGGAUGCCUGUGCGGUUCAAGAUCACAGCAUUUUAAGAGGAAUGCACAGAGAUAGUUGAGUCCUUCUAAGCACUGCAACAUGUUAUUUUCCACUCACAUACAGACUCCAUACCUACAAUCUUCAAAAUUGGAAGAGCUCAAGAAUUUCGCACAAUUUUUCUAAUCAAAGAAGGUAUAAAUGUCAAGAAUAUCUGCUUUGAACAAUAGCGCAUUAAAAUAGGUACCUGAACUUUAUUUUUGACUUUACUACCUACCUUUCAGAGUUUGUCUGAUCGUAGUACCUUUCUAUCAAAACUCAAACAGUAUUUUUGCUUCUUCGACUGUAUAUUCUGUAAUUUUGUGUCAUUCGACAAGUAUUCUAUAACUUGUUGGCAAAACCAUCAAGUUUUAACAAACUUAACAGAAUUUUAUGAAAUCAAAAGAAAGAAAAGGUUAGUAAAAUUAAAUUUUUUCCAAAGUGCAGGUACCCAUUUCAAAAAGCACUAUAGUUUAUAUAAGGUCCAUAUGUUAUAAAACUUAAAAAGAACAAAUCAUCAAUGCAGGUUUUAGACUCAGCAUGUUUGACGAAUUCACCAAAUUACAAGAUUAAUGAUCCUACUCUUAAUUACAAGAUUCGGUGGGUUGCCAUGGGCUUGAAUCCUAGAAAACAAAUUCUCUUUAAAAUGGUCCAAAGCCCUCAUUCAUAAUCUUUUCAUAGAAAGACCCAAAAUCUAGCCUACAACUAGACGGUCAAUCUCUGUGGCAUUAUGGUAGUUGAUGGCAAGACCAAUAUCUUUUACAAAACUGGAUUUUCAACCAAAGUAGAAUUACCUCAAUCCAAACGCACCCUAUGCCGCCAAAGAAUGGUGUUUUAAUAUCUUUUUUUAUAUUCAAUGCUCCCCUCACGUCAGGCCUCGAGACUUUUUGUAGGCCCGAGACAAACCUCUAGCCUCAAGACUUUUUGAUAGCCUUAAGGCGCGGACUUAAUUAAAUGAGAAGAAAUUAACUAAAACUAGGAGUCUCACGAGACUCGAACUCAAGAUCUCCUACUUGGAUACCAUGUGAAGCAAUCAUUUUUUUCUCUAAAAGCUUAUGCGACUAGAGAAUCGUGUUUCAACUUAUAUAUAUAUAUAUAUAUAUAUAUAUAUAUAUAUAUAUAUAUAUAUAUAUAUAUAUAUUCAAUGACGAAAAUCGAAUAUAUGAAACCCAACAAUUUGGCAAGUUUUCAUUGCAAAGGAGAAGUCAUUCAGCUGUUCUUUGAACUCCCCUAAUUCACAAGUAUAUUAAUCCAUUUCUUCUCAAUCAAAGCUAUAUUUCUCAGAAAAAAAUGAUGAAGUAUAUCACUCACUCAUCAAAAACAGAAACAAAUGAACAAAGUUCAAAAGGAAUGCAAUUUAACUAAAACAACUCAAUUAGGCAAAGUUUGACUUCUUAUUUUCCAAGAAAUCACAGAGCACAACAACUAAAUUGUUAGUCUAAGAGAUCAAUAACAUCAAAUAACGUCAAAUACAAAAUUAAACAUGCAUUUAACACUUCAAUUCAAUAUGGGUACAACCAAUAUUCCCUUAUCAUUUUUAUUAAAACCCUAGAUUUUUUUUUUUUUUUUGCAAGCACAAAAUUCCUCUUUGAUGACACAGAUGAUCUAUUUCCGACCCCAAUUUCAUGUUAAUUCAUGAAAUUACAAGUCAAAAACAACCAAAAUUCUAAAUUUUACAUCAUACGAAUCGAUUGACUAGAGCUGCAAAUUUAAACCCAAACACUGGAAUUUAAAAUCGAACCAAUAUGGAAUCUUUCCCAUUAGAGUCGAAAAAGAAGGUCAAAUGGAAAGGAUAAGUUGUUUAAAAAAAAAACAAAAAAAGAAAAAUAAAGGAGAGAUCGAGAAAAAGUUACAACCUAAAAAAGGAGAGAAUCCAUGAAAAGAAGCGAGCGAAGAGAUCGUUCUACGCAACUCUCAAAAAGAAGUUAAUUUUGCUUCUUGUUCGGUAAAAAUGCAUGGAAACCCCCUCAAGUAUACCUAAUUUUGAAAAGGCCCCUUCACCUUUUAUUUUAGGAAAAACUUCAAAACCCGUGUUUCUCAUUUUCUCACUUUAGUACCAUAUGGUUUAAAAUGUAUCAAUUUAGUGCCCUAUUUUAUUUUUCUUUUUUUAUUAUUAAUUUCACUAUUUAUUUUUCUUAAAUAAGUGACAAAAUGAAAAUUAAAGGGUACUAAAGUGAAUAUUUGAUAAAUCUAGGUGGGUAUCUGAAGUUUUUUUGUAUAUAAUUUAACGAAAUAUUAACGAAAAAGCUGUCGAAAAGAUAAAAAUAAAACCACAUGGCACCAAAUUGAUACACUUUAAAUCACAGGAUACUAAAUGAGAAAGUGCAAAACCACAUAGGGGGUUUUUUGAAGUUUUUCCUUUAUUUUAUUUUAGGUUAAAAAACAAAUGUAUAUCUAACCUUAUUAUCUAUUUUGAUCUAACUAUCUAAUUUUAAAUUAGUUAAUUUUACUAUAUGAUCUUUUUAAUGACUUUUAACUUUAAUAUUUAAAUAUAUCGCUUAUUCUUAUAAAUUUAAGUAGUAUAUUUUAUGCAAUUGAUAUAACUAUAAAUUUAAUUAUCUCAAAAAUUAUAUCAGAGCCAUCGAAUGACUUAAAUUUAAUAAAAUAAAAGACUGGAUACUAAAAUCAUAAUUUAAAAAAAAAAGUUAGGUAGUCGAAUUAAAAUGAUUUACAGUUUGGAUAAGUUUUUUUAUAUUUUUACCUUAUUUAUUUUAUUGGAAUCCUAUUUUCUUAGAAUAAGUAAUUAAUUAUAGUCACAAUAAAAUAAAAAUUUUAUUAAGAUAAUUUUAUCAAAUUCAAUAGCUUUAAUCACAUUUUUUUAGCAUAUGGAGAGAAUAGGACAGUAAAUAAUAAUAAGAAUAAUAAUUUUCUCUCCUGGGUAAAUUGCUCCACUAGUCCUGAAAAUUUUUGUAGGUUUUUAUUUUGGUCCCUAAACUUUCAAUUUUCACUUUAGAGACCAGGAUAAGCCACUAGCCUACACCCAAUAAAUCUAUUUAUUUAUACAUCAUGCAUUUAUUAAUUGUUUAUCCUAUUAUUUAUUUCUUUUAAAUUAAAGUAUCUGGUGAAUAAAAACAAAAUGGCCUUUUCGCAUUAUAAAACUCUCUAAUUUUGUUAGGGCCCACGCUUCGCAGAUAAUUAAAAUAUAUUAUAAUUAAAACUUUAAGAUUAAAAAAUUAUAACUAAAAAAAUAUAAAAAAAAUUAUGAAGUAGUCUUAUAUACAUUAUUAAAAAAAUUCUAUCAAUAUUUUUUUUAAUAUAUAUAGAGUUAAAUUAUUCUAAUAAUUUUAUUUAAAAAUUCAAUCAAAUUAGUAGUUUUAAUAGCUAUUCUAUAAAUGUUUUAACCAAAAAGUUAAAGUUUGAGAACUUAUUUCAAAUUGAAUAAUAGGUGUGGGUGUUUUUACCUUGUUUAAAUUGAUUAGAGAGAAAAAAAUUAUAUUAUACACACCUGGUAUAUAUUAAUACUCUGUAUAUCGCAACCUAUAUUAGAUGACUAAUAUUUUAAUAUCAAAAUUUAAUUAAAUAUAUAUUAUCUACAAAAUCUAAUAAAUUAAAUUUAUGCGUGAUGAAAUUUUAAAAUCUCUAUCAAAAAAAUUUAAGUAUAUAAUUUAUGUACAAAUAUAUACCUUGUGUAGAAAAUAUUUUAUAGGGUGCACUCAUAGUCAUACUUCCAAGAGAGAGGAGAAAUCAUUGCUUGCACCUAGUGCAUGCCAAUACUUCAUACACCGUAAAAAAUAUUAAAUAAUUGAUGAAAUAUUUGAUAAUCAAUAUUAUUAAAAUAAAAUAUGAUAUAAAAUUUUAUAAUAUAAAAUAUUUAAAUAAUUUAUUAUACUGCAGAAACUUAUUUUUGAUCAAUAUUUUAGAGUCGAUUUACGGUGCAAUGGGUCCCAAGCCAUUUUAAUGAUGUGACCUAACUCUCAAAUUAUGUAUCGUAUAGAUAGAUAGAUAGAUAUAGAUAGGUAUAUAUGAAUAGAUAGAUUAAAAGUAUCCGGCCGUAUGUUUCUCUCCUCCUACUUCGCCUCUCUCCUCUACGAACGUCAAACAUGGGCCUUUUGGCCCAACACAACUAUGGGCUGGGCCGGCAUGAACGCUAGAAGUGAAUGGUGUUGCUGGGCCUAGUACUUUUCGGCCUGCCGGCCCGAUCUGGCACGACCCGAGAUGCGCAUGGGUCGUGGCAGGCCAAAGCUUCGCCCAUGGCUCGACACAACGCAACCGAUAACAGCACGACACGACCCAUAUGGAUCGUGCCUGCUUGGCCAGUUUUUUCGUUAAUAUUUCGUUAAAUUAUAUACAAAAUACUUCAGAUACCCUACCUAGGGGCUUUUUUUGCAUUUAGACCCCUGACAAAUUUUUAUUUUAAAAAUAGCCCUAUCAAAAUUUAAUUUGCAAAAAUGGCCCUGGGCCUGCCACGCAGGCGCCACGUCAGCGCCACGCGGGCAGGGCUGAGCCCGUGUGUUAAGUUGAACACGGUGAACCAUUCACCGUGUUCAAACACGGUGAAUGGUUCACCGUGUUUAGUACGUAUUUUUUUAUACGUAUAUUGAAAAGUGGACCUUAGAUCUCAUUCAACCUAGCGGCCGUUGGAUGAAAAUCUAAAGAAUAAAAAUUAUUAAAUAUUUAUAUAUUGUAAUAAAUAAACAAAAAUAAAUUACGUAUAUAUAUAAUAUAAUUUAUUCGGGUUUGAAUUCGAUAAUAUUUCGGGUAUCCAUACCUAUUACAUCCUACUCCUAUUCUUCACUUUUCAAUAUACAAAAAUACUAAGAAACACGGUGAACCAUUCACCGUGUUUAGACACUGGUGAUGAUUCACCGUUUCAACUUAAUACCGCUGGCCCCAGCCCUGCCCGGUGGCGCUGACGUGCGCCUGCGUGCAGGGACAGGGCCAUUUUGCAAUUUAAUUUUGAUAGGGGUAUUUUUAAAAAAAAUUGCUCGGGCUAUUUGCAAAAAACCCCUACCUAGGUUUACGAAUAUUCACUUUAGUACUCUUUAGUUUUAACCUUGUCAUUGAUUUAACGGAAAAAAGUAAUGGAUGCGAUAAUAAAAAAGAUAAAAAUGAAAUCCACAGAAACACUUAAUUGAUAUACUUUAAAACACAGGGUACUAAAUUGAUACAAAAUACUUAGAUACCGACUAGUUUAUCGAAUAUUCACUUUAGUUACCUCUUUAAUUUUAACUUGUCACUUGAUUUAACGAAAACAAAUAAUGGAAUCGAAUAAUAAAAAGAUAAAAAUAAAAAUUACAGAAUACUUAAAUUGAUAUACUUUAAACCACAGGGUACUUAAAUUGAUAAAAAUACUUCAGAUACCCACCUAGGUUUAUCGAAUAUUUACUUAGUAGCCCCUUAAUUUUAAACUUUGUCACUGAUUUAAUGAAAAAAAAUAUGGAAUCGAUAAUAAAAAGAUAAUAAAUAAUACAGAACACUUAAAUUGAAUAUACUUUAAAACCACAGGGUACAAAUUAUAUCACAAAAUACUUCAAAUACCCCACCUAGGUUUAUCGAAUAUUCACUUUAGUACUCUUUAAUUUUAACCCUGUCACUGAUUUAACGAAAACAUAAUGAAUCGAUAAUAAAAAGAUAAAAAUAAAAAUCACAGACAAAAAAUACUUCAGAUACCCCACCUAGGUUUAUCGAAUAUUCACUUUAGUACUCUUUAAUUUUAACCUUGUCACUGAUUUAACGAAAAAAGUAAUGGAAUCGAUAAUAAAAAGAUAAAAAUAAAAUCACAGAACACUUAAAUUGAUAUACUUUAAACCACAGGGUACAAAUUAAUAAAAAAUACUUCAGAUACCCCACCUAGGUUUAUCGAAUAUUCACUUUAGUACUCUUUAAUUUUAACCUUGUCACUGAUUUAACGAAAAAAGUAAUGGAAUCAAUAAUAAAAAGAUAAAAAUGAAAUCACAGAGCACUUAAAUUGAUAUACUUUAAACCUACUUAAAUUGAUACAAAAUACUUCAGAUACUCCACCUAGGUUUAUCGAAUAUUCACUUUAGUACCCUUUAAUUUUAACUUUGUCACUGAUUUAACGAAAAAAAAAUAAUGGAAUCGAUAAUAAAAAGAUAAAAAUAAAAUUACAGAACACUUAAAUUGAUACACUUUAAACCACAGGGUACUAAAAUGAGAAAGUGUGAAACCACAUGAGUGGUAUUUGAAGUUUUCCCAAAAAAUAAGUCUAUUUUGUUUCUGCAUUUCACCCAUAGUAGAAUGGGGCAUACUCAGUUAAGCAAAAAUGGGAGCUCUAAAGAAAACUUUUUAAAUUUAUACUCAUUCUAAACAAGAAAAUGCUUAGGUAUCAUAAAUCAAGUUUAGAGUUUCUUUCUCAACAAAGUAAUGCGAGUAUUAGCUAGUUAAAUUUCUAGACGAAAAUAGCAAUAAAUAAACAAGUGCAAAUUAUAAACAGCACUAAAAACCAACAAAUUUUAUUAUUAAAAAUGGGAUAAGUACAUAUAUACUUUCAAAACUUCUGAAAUACUUUAUAUAUAAUUUUCUUUAUUUCAAAUAUGCUCUUAGUAUAUUUCUCUGUUAUUCAAAAAUAAUCCCACUGUUAGUACCUGUUAAGUCAAAAUACCUUUUUUAUUCUUAAUUUAAGAACAAAUAAAAAAAAUUGAUGAUGAUGAUAGAAGAGUAUAUUUGAAAGGGUAAAAAGUCAAAAUACUGUUUUUGCCAUUAACUUAAUCGCAAAUGAAGUAUAGUUGGUGACAGUCGAAGGGUUUGUUUAAAAGUGCAAAUAAUAAUUCACAGAUAUAACUAUAGUUCCUAACAUUUCACUAACAUUGUUCAACUCUAGGGUUAUAUUUGAAAUAGGAUAUAUUUGAAAUAAUUUGGAAGACUAACGGGUAGUUUUAAUAUUUGAAAGAACUUAAUACGUUAAAAAGGUAUUUUUAAUAUUAGCUUUCUAAACGGGGUAAAUAAGAAAGCUUGAAAUUUUUUAGGGACAUACAAGUAUUUGCCUCUUAAAAAAACCUAUAGAAGGAUUUUUAUAAGUAUCAUUCUAAGAAUAAGGUAAGCAAGGAAAUCAAUGUGCUAACUUCUUAAUUGUUACUUUAAUUUAAAGUUUACAAAAAAAUGCUAUAAUUACUAAUAGAAACCAAAAAAAAAAAAAAGAGUACUCCAAUAUCAAAGCAAACAACUUUAUGGUGUGAUUUCACUAUCAAAAGUAUUCUAACUUAGGAUACAAGUGCUUAGUGAUGUGCCAUUCCAUCUCCUAAAUUCUCAAUACCCAUUAUCUCAUACAAAAUAAUAUCUCUAUAUAAUUCAUUUGUUAAACAACUAAACCAAACUAAAGUCAUACAAGUAUAUUUUAAUUGCGUAUCAAAGUCGUUAAUUAAGGUAAAAAAAAUUAUAAGAUUUAUCAUCGCAAAGUCACAGUAAGUUUUUGUUGGGAAUUCGGUACUCGCCCUGGUACCUGAUCUUGAGAAUCCGCAAUCCACUUCGAUACCGACUGCUGUUGAUCCGGUACCGAUUGUUGGGAUUCCACAACGGAAGCAUUGAAUUGGAUUUUUAUCAUAAAUCCGUAUUCUCAGCAGAAACUGAUACAAUCAUAAAAGUGAGAAAAACAACCAAACAGAAAAUAUGCAAAUAAAAUAAAAUAAAUUAAAUAAGAGAAGAUUACACAUGAUUCAUCUUCUGCAAUAGAGUAGCUAUAAUUCGAUCAUUUUUCUGAAUCUCUUCUAUCCUUCUCUCGUCUUCUAUAAACCCACCAAGAAGACAACUCUCUACGUACACUCGUGCACUAGGUACACUCAACCAUGACUUUCUCGCUCCUGGUACGGUUUCACCUAAAAAGGCACUCUCUUUCUCACCAUACUCUCUACUCCAAAAGCAGAAUAUUUUUUAUAACUAAUCCUAUCAAUUUUUAUAAUUAUAAAAAUAGUUUUCUUAAAAAAAAAUUAUAAAAAUAGACCUUUAAAUGCAGUGAAUGUUUCAUCGCAUUCAUAACUUCUAUUUAGCAGUAGAAAAAUAAUAAAAGAGGUGAACCAUUCACCGCUUUUACCAUCGUAGAAUUAUAAUAAAAAGGAAGAAAAAGAAAGAAAGCGGUGAAUGGUUCACCGCUUUUAAAAGUGGUGAAUCAUUCACCGCUUUUAUAAGACUAUAUCUACAAAUAAAAUUUUAACAGAUUUAUUUUUAAAAUAAAAUUUUAGAAGAGGACUAUUGAACUAAAACCCCCCAAAAGCAUCCCAAAGAGUGCUUUUAUAAUGCAUCCUUUAAAACGUACGCGAAUACUAAUCCAAUUAGAAUUCCUACUCCAAUUAAUAUUUAAAUCUAUAUUUCAUUUAUUUCCAAUAAAUUUAAAUAUUUAUCAUAAUCUAGUUAGAUUCAUACUCUAAUUAAUAUUUAAAUUUUAAUUAUCUCUAAUGGAUUUAAAUAUUAAUCAUAAUCCAACUAGAAAAUUAACUACAAAUCUAACCAAAUUCUAACAUUCUCCACCUUAGUUGGAUUUGUAACCUUGAAUUGUUGCGUCGAGCUUACCAUGCAAGCUUCACCUUGAGCAUGUCUUCUCCGCUCGAUGUCGCCGCAUCCGUCGCUCCGCCUCGAGUGAUUACAUCUUCGCGAACGUUUGGAACCCAAGUUGACUUUGCUCCUGUUCUGACCAUAGUUAGUUAAUUCGCGAAUUAUUCACGAAUUAUUCGCAAAUUUUUGAAAUGCCGAAUAAAACUCCCGUUUUCGUAUUUUUCCCAAAAAUUCGAAAAAAUUCGCGUUUUUUUGGGUAAAAAAAAUUAUUCGCGAAUUAAACGGAAUUCGCGAAUAAUUCGGCCCAAAAAAACGGCCCAGAACCCGAUUUGCCCCCAAAACCCGCUCUGCCUCACGGCCCGCACGGCCUCACGCUGACGCCCAAAAGGCCAAAAAAAAAAAAAACCCUUUAUAAAAAGAUCUCUCCCCUCCCACUGAGUCCCACCACCACCCCUCCCAAAAAAAAGGUUUGCCCUAACUUCUCACCCCUGCGGCGGUGCGGCGCGCGGCCCUGCCACCGACCCUACGGCGGUUGCGGUCCCUUCCCCUCCCCCUCUUCCCUUCCGGCCGCUCGCCGAACGCCAUCGGAAGCCCUCGUCUUCAGAAAUUGAAGAUCGAAGAUCGGGUUCUCCACUCUUCAGAUGUCGAAACCCUCCUCGUCGCCUCUUCCGCUUCCGCUUCAGCUAUCCAACGAUAGAUCAGUAAUCGGGUGGUUUUUUUACAAAGCAAAAGUUGGAAGUUUUUAGUCCAUUUGAUGGAUACUUUUUUAUACACAAAUGGCUCGAGUGCUUAAAUUGAAUGUGUCCAUUAAUUCUCUGUUAUGCACAAAGAAGACCCAAACAUAGAGCUAAAUAAUCUUAAUUAACUUAGGUACCAGGAACUCUUGUAUUAUACCUAAUCAAUUUCAUGAAUGUGUUCAUUUUCUGUUUAUUAUUAUUUUUUACCUAAUUUUGUAGCUUUUUAUUUUUAUAUUCUUAAAAAAUAUGAAUAUUUAUGCUAAUUGCAUAAAUUUUGAGAGAAAAAAAUUAAUUUAAUAGCCAAAUUUUUGAUCCCGAAUUUUUAAUUUGUAAACAUAUAAUAUCCGUAUAAAUCACAUAUCCGAAUAAUUGGCGAAUCCGUUUUUAAGCCGAUUUUUUCAACGAAUUUAAAAAUUAGAAUACGAAUUUUAUCCGAAUUAUACCCGUACCGAAUUUUUGCCGAAUCCGAAUUAACUAACUAUGGUUCUGACCGUGCUCCCGUUCAAAACGUAUUAGUUCCCGCACUUGUUCGCCUUGCACACAACCCGAUCUCGCUUUUGGACCCUCAUAGCUCCACCUGAAGCCGAAAAAUUGCAACCCUUUGAGUUCAACGUGCCUAGUGAGAUCAAAUUUCGCUUCAAACCAGGAACAUGCCAUACACCCGUCAGCAUCCUCACGACCCCAUCAUACAUCCGGAUCUUUAUCGUACCGACUCCCAAAACUUUGCACGUCGUCCCGUUUCCCUUAAGAGCUUUUCCUCCCUUGAGCGCUUUAUAGGUGGCAAAAUACUCUUUCUCCGGGCAGACAUGAAAAGAAUAUGCCAAAUCGAGCACCCACGCAUAAUUCGAAAUUUUUGCACCUUUGAGUGCCGCAUAUAGCACAUCAGAAUCGAUCAUCUAUGACUCUGUCGCCCGUGCUGUCGUCGAUACCGUCUUAUCCUUGUUUACCACAGGUUUCUUCUCAUAUUGCUUUAACUCCUUCAGAUCAUUCUGAAGCUUUUGACAAUUAUGCUUGAUAUGCCUUUUUCUAUGACUGUAGAAGCACUCCACCUCGGAUAGCGGCUUUUUCUGUUGAUCUCCAAUCGCCGAUAUUGUCGCCUCCUUUUUCACUCUCACCACCAGCCCUAUAUCCUGACUUUACGGGCCGGACUCCUGAAUCAUCUUCCGUAUCUCGUUCGAGAUAAGCGCCGCUGUGCCCGCCUCCAUGCUUAUUGUAACACACUGGAUCUGUGCAAAUUGCGAGGUUUGAGUGAUUGUAUGUGUUCCGAGCUUUUCCACGCUUUGUGGAGGGUCGUAGAAGGUGUUCCGACCUAAAAAGUUCGAAUCCUGAAAAUUCAGCUUUGUCCUGAGAGUUUUUACUCUCAGGGACCGGUCCCUGGUGGGAGAGACCGGUCCCCUUGGAACAGUGUUGCGGCUGACGGCGAGGCAACCAGUCCCUGACGGGUGAGACCGGUCCUCUGUCAUGCCCCGGAUUACUCGUUCCUCGGGCACGCCGACAAAUCCGCCGUAUACAAAGGAAUUUUCCUUGUAUACGAAGCGAUAGCUGUACCUGUAAAAUAUACAAUACUACAAACAGUAGUAUAGAGCUGCUAAAAAAAUCAGUAACAAAACAAACCGAGUUCCAUAUAUAUACGCCAAAUCCAAGAUACAAAACUACUCGCACUGGCGAGUAAACGUCUGUAUGUACAUGAACUCCAACAAAAAAUAACUACCUGCUGUAGGGGCACCUCUAGCUCGGCUCGUCGGGUAGGGCUCUAACUCGCGAUGCCCUUGCCUCGAUCCUGAUCAGCAAUAGCAGCAGCCGAAGACGAUGGCUCUGCAAAAACGGGGUGACAACAGAGUGUGAGAACUACUGUAAAACAAGUAGUCCUCAGUGGGUGCCGCCCUCAACAUCAUCGGUCCACCCACUAAGUCUACAGANGUAGGGCCCUAACUCGCGACGCCCUUGCCUCGAUCCUGAUCAGCAACAGCAGCAGCCGAAGAUGGUGACUCUGCAAAAACGGGGUAACAACAGGGCGUGAGAACUACUGUAAAAAUAAGUUGUCCUCAGUGGGUGCCGCCCUCAACAUCAUCGGUCCACCCACUAAGUCUACAGAAGGGAGCAAAGGUAGUAAUAAAUGCUGGAAUAAAAAUCUACAGGUACCAUUUAUUACACUGUCAUGCUCUAUGCUGAUCUACUGUAGAAAUGUCAAUUCUGACCCAAUCUCUUUAGGGACUGUAAACAUACCCGUCCCAGGGACUGUGAACACACCCGUCCCGCCCAGAUGAGACUAUCAAGCUACCUCCACACUAUCCAGUCCGUGGAGAGCAAGUCUAACCGGCAUGCACGACACCAACGUGAAAGCACAACGCCUGUCUUUGGAGUGGCACUCAUGGGAGCUAUCCAACCGAGUAUGCAGCGUAUCUCUAUUGAGCUCAAUCAGGCUCUCUCAAGCCAAAGUCCAAAUAACCGACACUAACUGGUCUAACAACCCACAGUCACGUGCCCUCGGCACAAUCCGACGCCAAAAAGGCGAUAUGGGUCCACCGUCAACCCCGACGGCACCCAACAGUCCGAAACAGCCUGAACGCUACUGUAAAAAUACACUCAGCAUUCCAGCACGAGCGUAACUGAAAGCUAAACUACCUGGGGUAUCCGCCGCCUCGAUACUGCGACGAUACAAAAUUACAACGGCUCCUAGAGCUAAAUCAGGUAGUGUAAACAGGUGACUGGUCCAAAUCGCUGGUUUUCUGCUAAGUCAAAUUUCAAGUCCAACAUGUAUAUUUAUGGUUUGCUAAUCAUGUCCUCAAUGCUGAUUUCAUCCAUGAUACAAUCAAUGAAAUUGAGCUACAACAUGAUUUACAAAACUAAAAAUCAUACAUGUCGACUAAUACUGUGCUUAGGAAUAAACCGAUAUAACCCACCUCAAAGGCUAAUCCCCGGCAGCGAAGAGGGUCACUGAAGUCCCUGCCAAGCUCGACUACAACUCACCGAACCGGCAAUAAUAGCGCUCCAAGGAUCUAAACAUAGAAACCCACAAUAAACACCAAUUCUGCCCAAAACAACAGCAGCAGAGAGGAAUAGGGUUUCGACCAAGCUAACCUUCACCAAAAUUGGCAAUCUUGGCCUUCGUGGAUUUCUCUCGAAAUCCUGAAUCCAACGAAUCAAGUCUCGCUGCAAUCCGACGCUCCUACGUCGCGUACGAGCUGAAAUACCGACGGUCGACGCAAAAAUUUUGCAAAACAGCAUCCUAGCUCGAAAUUGAAGGAGCUUGAAGAAAUUGAAGUGAUUUCGAUGGAUCACUCACCUUGAAAACCCCUCUAUAAUCGGUGCAACGUCGAGGACGGCGAAAAACCACGCUCACCCAACCUCCUCGCAGCACCACGACAAUGAAAACACACUCGAAUGGCACCGCGGCGCGACGUCGACGAUACUCGAACUCCACCCGAGCUCCUCCUUGCCCACGGUCCAAGCUAGAGAGAGGGGAGAAGAAGGACAGUGAAAACUCUCUCUCUCUCAGCUCUACACAAGCCUAAAUAGAGAGAGAGGGAAAGGGUGACACGAACGAGGUGGAAAAAGACCAAAAAGUCCUCCUACCUAUCCUGGCGUAUCGGUACACGGGCUCGUGUACCGGUACAGAGGCCAACCCGAGAGCAAGCUGCGCGAAGCCCUGAGCAGUGUACCGGUACACCGUGAUGGCUGUACCAGUACAGCAAACAGAAAACAGCUAUUUGCAGAUUUUCUUGCUAAAUGCUGCUCUCGCGUUGUACAGAGUCCGUUUUGCGUCUAUUUCACGCCAACGCGACUCAGACUUGUCCCGACACUCUCCAGAGCUGUCGACAAGCCUUCAUUGCUGUACACCAGAGAUCUCACAUCCCCGAGCGCGUUUUUGCGGGGAAAGACCGGUCCUAUGCAGGGAGAGACCGGUUCCCAAAAGUUGAAAUUUCGGGGCAGGCUGAGAGACCGGUCCCAGGUCUGGGAGACCGGUCCCUCAGUCCGAAAUCUGCCCAGACCGAGCAGUGCACACAUUGCUUAAUUGAGGGACCUAGGUGGAUAUUGUUACUUGAGAGGGCUUUUAUGGUCCUUCCACUCUCUCACUCCCUCAUUUCUCUCCCUCACACUCACUCUAGAGAGAGAAAAAGAAGGAGAAGAAGGAGUUGGAGGAGAGCAAGAUCUUGAGGCUUUGGAGCAUCUUCCUCUCCCUUUGCUCACCAUUGGAGGCUUGGAGCUUUCUAUUGGGGCUUUGUGGAGGAUCAAUCUUCAACCCUAGAAGAUUUGGAGCUUGUUUUGGGGCAUCUAGAGAUGUCGGUACCUUAAUUCUAGCCUUUGAUCCGUGUUUUGGUAGGCUUUACCUUAUGAAAUCCUAGAAUGAGGUUUUAGAGUUGAUUUUGGGCAUUUUGGAUUUAGGGUUUUUGGAGCUCAAUUCCUUGGAUUAGAACCUUCCUUCUGAUUAGAUUGGAAGGGUUCUAGCUCUCUUUUGGGGCUUGAGAAGAGAUUUCUACUUUGAAGGUGAGUUUUGGCCCUUUUCUUGAGACGGUUAAGAACGAGCUAGGGAUUGUUCGUAACGUUCAUUUCUCUCUUCUUUCCUUAUCCUUAGGGUGCUAGAGGACUUGGGGACAACUUCGUUUGAGCUUACGAAGGGUUCCGAGACGCUUCGGUGGGUUUGACCUAGCCGCACAAUGAGAAAUUCUCAUUUGGGAUGUUUUGAGUAUCGUAAAUUGGAAAAUCGUGCAUAUUCAUGUUAAAUGUAUUCAUUAUGAAUUUUAGAAUGCUUAAAAUGCCUAUGUUACAUAUAAUGCACUUUGGACCUCUAUGUAGUAGAGAGUUGCUUGGGAGAUCUAUGGUUGCAUUUAGCAUUCCGUGUGGGAUUUGGAACCAUGUUUCUUAUUGUAACAUACCACGUCCCUCGUAAAUCGUGCCGAGUUCCGUCGAAACGAGUGGAACGCGGAGUGGAACAAGUGAGUAUAGGCCCUAAGUGCAUUGGAGCCUAUAUAUAGUACAAAGGGAUCCGAGAGAGUGAGAUUUCAAAAUCUGGCUAAGUCCCAGAUUUUGUGCUCUCGGGGACCGGUUCCUGAAGGAGAGACCGGUCCCCGUACGCGUAGCCUGCUAGGAAUCCUGAGGCAUCCGGUCCCUGGCAGUGAGACCGGUCCUCAGGAGACCGAUUCUCGAAGGAGAGACCGGUCCCUCGCUGCGCAACCAGCCAAAAACUCGAAAAUUUGGCUAAGUCCUGGAAAACCCACGUUCGGGAACCGGUCCCUGAUCGGGGAGACCGGUCCUCGACUGUGAAAAUUGCCCAGUCUGGGCAGUGCACUGUGAAACAAGUUGAGGGGCUUAAGUGCAAUUGUCACAACACUUUAUAUAGCCAUCCCCUUCACUCCCACAGCCAUUUCUCUCCCCCUCUCUCAUUCUCUCUCUUUCUCUCUCUAGAACUCUUGCAUUAGAGCUUGGAGAAGAAGAAGAAGAAGCAAGGAGAAGGUGGAUUUGGGGGCUUUGGUGGAUCUAGGAGGUCUCCAACAAGAAGAAUCUUGGUGGAGCUUGGGUUAGAGGUAAGUUCUUGCAAGAUUUCCUCUAGGGUUUAGAUUUUAACCUAAAGAUUUGGAGCUUUGUGCUCCUUAGAGGUUUUAGAAGCUCUUUUGAGCCUUGAACAACAAGGUAUCCAUGAGAGCUCAAGGUGCUCUCACGAUGAACCCUUGGAAGUUGGGUUAGGAGCCCUAGGGUUGGUCCCAAAGGUCUAGAAACCUUACUAGCAUGCUCCUUAGAUGAUUAUAAGCCAUUAUUUGCUUAGGGUUGAGAUCGAUUCAUGGGGAAACCCUAAAUGACAUUGUUAGGGCUUAAAAAUUAGGGCUUUUGCCCUAGGAGUUUUCGGGGACAAAUUGACCCCCGUAGAAACCUAAUUGGAGGUCAAAUAAACACGUUUGACAACUCCAUUCAACGUUACGAAAAUAUUUAAAUAUAGUUCAUGUAUAAACGGCCUAAUAGGGCACUAAUUUGGUUAUAGGGCGCGGAGCCGGCGUUCGUAACGUUCGGGAGUCUUCGUAUUCUACACCCACACGACCAUUAGAGGUGGGGGGUGCAUGCCGGAAUAGUUGGAUUCCCUUCUAUAUCUGUUUUACUUUUGUUGAGCAUAUUAUUAUAUAACCAUUCAUGCAUAGUAGGGUGAUCUUACAUGUGACUAGCGGUUAGAAUUUCAAUAUUAUGCUUCUAAUGUAGAUGAACAUAGUGAUUGAACCAGAGUCGAAAUGGACAUGCAUAAAUGAACCCGAGAAAUGUGUGGAUGUGGGACUUGGACUUGACUAUAGUAAACAAAGGUGACAUUAACUAUAGAGACAAGAUUGGCAUUGACAAAAAUGACUAGAAUGUGACACGAACUAAUAGGUAGAAAACCUAUCAUAAAAGUGGCAUCAUGACUAAUGGCUAUGUAUCCUCAGCUUGAGGAUUUGAUUGAGGCUCACUUGGACUUAGGCUUGAGGGAGGUCGCUUCCCCUUAAGCGGUGUACUUCGAAGUGUAGACACCAACGGGGAAGUACCUCGCAGACGAUCCCUCGGGUGGUUGUGCUUUAAGCCUCCUCUGGUAGACGGGAGAUGGAAUGGUGAGCUAUUGGGGUUAACAAAGUUAAUCGGUAAGAUUGGGUACUGAAAGUUAAAGUAAAGAUAAAGAACAUGCAUGCAUGCAUACUGUACAUUGUUGAUUAUAUAUAUAUCCACUGACAUUCUUCUGCAGGCAUGGUAUUAGAUGCAUUAGUAUUUGUUACUUUUUUUUCCUUGAAAUACUUAUGCCUGGAUAGACCUAGUGGGUAAGUCGACGAGGUCGGAUGCCGAACCCACUGAAAACUUCAUUGUAGUUCUCACACCACUAACCCUCUAGGUCCUAGCACGAGCGAGACUGCGGAGGACCGAGGCAAGGGUCUAGCGCCGUAGGUAGCGGCCACCGGGGAUAUUUUGCAUUUUGUAGUCAUUCCUAUAUUUACAUGUAUCAACUUCUUUUGUUGAUUUAGAGAUGUAAAGUUAUAAACAAUCAUGUAAUUGGUGGAUGGCUAAAUAUAAAAAAAUAUGAUGGAUGAAUGGAAUGUAAUAGUUUUACUUACUUGUAUUUGGUUUAAAUUUAAUCAAAUAUCAUGUAUGUUGUAUAUUUAACUUAGAGCUUUCACUUCUGUUGUUGCUUGCCCUCGUGUAAGCCUUGUAUUAUAUAUGCAAAUCUCUUGUUGAUUGCUUAUUUAUACAUGUUGUUAGAGCCUUGGGCAGAUAAGGGAGGCUCUGUCCGUUCGGCGUCUGUUGACGUGACCCGAACCCAACCAAAUCGGCGGAGAUUGAGGCGUGACACUUAUAGUAGAAAUAACAUGUGUAAGUGUCAUUGAAGUUAAAUUUCUCAUUGGAUAUAGAAACUACUACAAUGCCAUAAAGAGGCAUUAGACAAGAUCGACAUGUGAAAUUGUGAGCUAAUGUUAUAAAGCGGCAUUGAGCUCGGGUUAUGUGUGAACCUAGUGGGUAGGGCCAUUGAGAGAUUUGAAAAUUGGAACAUGCUUGAAUAUAGAAUUGUCUAAGGGUGCGUUUGGUUCGCAUUAUGAAAGAUUACUAGGAAUAAAAGAUAUCCGAGAAUCUUAUUCCUAUUCAUCCUAUUACUAAGAAUGUGGAAUUCCUGUGUUUGGUUUGCACGGUAAUAUUAAUUAGCCAUGUUAUUUAAUAUUACAAAAAUAUACAAUUAAUUAAUUAAUUAAUUUAAUUUAUUUUAGAUAAUGUUACCAAAAGUUUCAACAUUUUUUUAGAAAAAAGGGAGAGAGAGUAUAAGUUAGAGAGAGAGAGUAUAAUUAAAAAAAUAGAAAGAAAAAUAUAGUCGAAAUUAGAGGGAGUGGGAGAGUUGAAAUUUUAGAAAGAGAGAGAGAGAGAAAAAACUUAGUUUAGAGAGAGAAAAAAAAGUUGAAUUUUAGAGAGAGAAAUAAGUUUAGAGAGAGAUAUAAGGUUAGAGUGUAAAGAAAAAUAAUAUCGAUUAGCUGGCGGGUAGGAAGAAAGAAAGAAAUUAGACAUAUUAUGAUUACUCAAAUCUAUUAAUAUGAGGAUACCCACCCUCCCUCAAGAGAAUGAGAUUAGUACUUUGGGGUGAAUCUUAUUCCCAAGUGAAUCCAAUAUUACCAACUGGAUUACUUAGUGCGUUUAGCCAAAUACCGUCAUAUUUUUUUAUUCCCAUUGGAUUACUAGGAAUCUUUAAAAGAUAGCGCGAACCAAACACACCCU
rnacentral:lncRNA from 1 species